AUAGAUGGUCUUUGUAAGGAAGGUUUUGUGGACAAGGCCAAGGAACUGUUUCUGCAGAUGAAGGAUGAGAAUAUUAACCCCGAUGUGGUUACCUAUACCUCUGUGAUUCGUGGUUUUUGUUAUGCUAAUGAUUGGAAUGAGGCCAAGUGUUUGCUAAUUGAGAUGAUGGACCAAGGGGUACAGCCUUACAAACUUCACUAGUCAAAUUGUCGAAUUACAUCCGAAUUAGAUUUGAUCCGAUUAUAAUCUCAUCGGAUUGGGUUGUUUCUAUUUAAUCAAAUUACAACAAUAAUCCAUAUUCAAUUUGAAUAUGUUUGGAUCUGCUGUACGGCCAAGGCGGAUGUACGGUACAGCAGCAGUUUCAAAUUUUACAAUUCAGCUGGGGUAUUUUUCAUAAAUAACAAAUAAAAUACAAUUUUUUAGUAUAAUUAUAAAAAAAAUUUAAAAGCCAGCAGGGGCAUGUGCCCCAGCUCGUCCCAUGCUGGCUCUGUCUCUGCAUGCAACAACAUAUAAAUUCAGUUAAGGAGCCAUUAAAGUUGUUUAUCACUCAACCACAAGGAAUAUUAGUUCAUGAUUUUCAAAACGAAACUAAACAACAAAGUUUCAGCCGGCAAAUACAUUCUCAUGUCAAAGAAUAAAAAUAAAUCAAAAUAAGAAUAAGAAAGACUGAAUUCCAAUUGAUUCCGGCAAACUUCUCCACUGAUGCAGUCUUGAUUCUUGCUCUUGAAAUCUAUUUUUCCUUGUUUCUUUUCUAUUUAUGAUCUUGGUUGACGGCCGCCUUUUUUCUUUUGUACAUGUGCCUCUGUUAUAGUCCAAAAUUAGGGUAAACGGAAGUUCAGAGCGCGCAUCUUCCCAAUUAGGAAAUUGCAGAUUGCAAUCCGUUAAGUAUCUUGCGCGAAAUCUUCUCUGUCAUUGUUCCCGAAUUGCUACAUCACGGUUUUCUACAGCAAUAGCUACAGUAUAUGCACUGUUCCAAAUUUACUCCAAUUCUUCUAUAGUCGUAUUCUUUUGUCCUUUUUGCGAACCCAUUGCUACAACAUCCUUCCCAUGAAAAUUUAACUUCGGGUUACCUACAAUUAUGCAUAUGUUUUAAGGACACAAUUAUUAGAAAUCAAGCAAAUUUUAUUAAACUUAAACUAAAAUGAAUGUUAAUGUAAACUAUCAUUAAAUGCACUAAAACACAUCAAUUACCCUCUAAGUAAUCUUGAUUUUAAGUCUAAAAGUAUCAUGAUAAUCUUAUUUCAUAGAGUUUUCAAUACUCUAACUUCAAGUUGCACGAAUCUAUAAGGAUUCUUAUGAAUUCUUUGCUCGUUACAUUAGCUUUUAACACCAAAACAUCUUCAUGCAAGUAUAGUAUCCCUUCCUCAUCGUAUUAUGUCCAAAUGAUUGGAACUUGCUUGGUUCUUGCUCAUUUUGUCAAUGAAGCAUUGAAGAGAAUAUCAUGACUUGUUAUUGCAUACCUUUUGUAGUACUUCUAGGCUUUGUUAGAGUUAUUUACUAGAGUUGGCCCUCUUACAAUAACUCUAGCUACUGGCUCUUCAAAAAUCAUAUCACCAGUAUUCUUUUUUGCUGUAUGCACUGUUGAUCUGUCAUUGGAUAAGAACUGUCAAUAUACUUAUUCAAAUAAUAAUUUCUUACUAGAACUUCUACUUGUUUUUUUAAGUCGUGACACUGUGGUUUGGUGUGGCCAUGGGUGUUAUUCAUCAGCAUUAUCCUAUCUCUUAGGAAAUUUUGGCAAGUAAGGACUAAUGAAGGUAGGUUUUGGUUUUGGUUUAGUUGACCUUGUAUUUUGAGUUGGGUUAACUUGGAUCAUUAUAGUGAGGAUGGCUAUCAACUAGUUAUAUCAUUUCAAGUAGCUCUAUUUAGAGAGGGGUGGGGUUAAUUUCUUUUUACAUAGUAUGGGAGAUAAGAGUGGCCAAAAUCAAAUUUAGAUUGGAUUCGGAUCAAUUUGAUCAUAUAUUAAAUUUUUCGGAUUGACUAAAAAAACUCAUCUGAAUGUACUCGAACUUGAAUCUAAUAUGAAUAUAUUUGGAUAGGAUGAAUAAUUUGGCUUAAGUUAGAUUUGGAUCGGUUUGGUAAAUCUCAAAUUUAAUUUUAAUUUACAGGUCACUAUACUUAAUGGAUAAGACAUAAUUUGUAUAUCUCUGUAAUAAACAUUCAAUUUUGAUAUUCAACUACAUAGAUAGAAGAAAAAUAAGUCAUUUACAUUACAAUUGUGGUGCAUAUCACUGAAAAGUAUCAUAAUAAUUCAUAUUUUUCCAACCAAAAUGAAAAGAAACCAUAAUUUAAACAACAUAAUAAGCAAAUAGAAUUUCUAAAGAAAAGGAAAAAGAGUAGAUGUAAGCUAGAAAAAGAGAAAUCAUGUAUUAGAGAAGAAAAGAGCAUUUUUGCACAAAAACAACUAAUACCAAAACUAAUAAAAAAAUCUCAUAUUCAUUUUCCAAUUUUCUCAUAAGCUUACGCAAUUCUUCCUCUUCUACUCUUCAAAAUCAUUUGCCAAUUUUCUCAAUUUUCUCAUAAGGUGAUCUUUGGUCUUUUGAUGAGAAAAUUACUUGAGUAACUUACGACUGGUUAGGUUUGGGAUUUUGGGGAAAACAAGUUAGGUUUACACAUUACAAACUUCACUAGUCAAAUUGUCGAAUUACAUCCGAAUUAGAUUUGAUCCGAUUAUAAUCUCAUCGGAUUGGGUUGUUUCUAUUUAAUCAAAUUACAACAAUAAUCCAUAUUCAAUUUGAAUAUGUUUGGAUCUGCUGUACGGCCAAGGCGGAUGUACGGUACAGCAGCAGUUUCAAAUUUUACAAUUCAGCUGGGGUAUUUUUCAUAAAUAACAAAUAAAAUACAAUUUUUUAGUAUAAUUAUAAAAAAAAUUUAAAAGCCAGCAGGGGCAUGUGCCCCAGCUCGUCCCAUGCUGGCUCUGUCUCUGCAUGCAACAACAUAUAAAUUCAGUUAAGGAGCCAUUAAAGUUGUUUAUCACUCAACCACAAGGAAUAUUAGUUCAUGAUUUUCAAAACGAAACUAAACAACAAAGUUUCAGCCGGCAAAUACAUUCUCAUGUCAAAGAAUAAAAAUAAAUCAAAAUAAGAAUAAGAAAGACUGAAUUCCAAUUGAUUCCGGCAAACUUCUCCACUGAUGCAGUCUUGAUUCUUGCUCUUGAAAUCUAUUUUUCCUUGUUUCUUUUCUAUUUAUGAUCUUGGUUGACGGCCGCCUUUUUUCUUUUGUACAUGUGCCUCUGUUAUAGUCCAAAAUUAGGGUAAACGGAAGUUCAGAGCGCGCAUCUUCCCAAUUAGGAAAUUGCAGAUUGCAAUCCGUUAAGUAUCUUGCGCGAAAUCUUCUCUGUCAUUGUUCCCGAAUUGCUACAUCACGGUUUUCUACAGCAAUAGCUACAGUAUAUGCACUGUUCCAAAUUUACUCCAAUUCUUCUAUAGUCGUAUUCUUUUGUCCUUUUUGCGAACCCAUUGCUACAACAUCCUUCCCAUGAAAAUUUAACUUCGGGUUACCUACAAUUAUGCAUAUGUUUUAAGGACACAAUUAUUAGAAAUCAAGCAAAUUUUAUUAAACUUAAACUAAAAUGAAUGUUAAUGUAAACUAUCAUUAAAUGCACUAAAACACAUCAAUUACCCUCUAAGUAAUCUUGAUUUUAAGUCUAAAAGUAUCAUGAUAAUCUUAUUUCAUAGAGUUUUCAAUACUCUAACUUCAAGUUGCACGAAUCUAUAAGGAUUCUUAUGAAUUCUUUGCUCGUUACAUUAGCUUUUAACACCAAAACAUCUUCAUGCAAGUAUAGUAUCCCUUCCUCAUCGUAUUAUGUCCAAAUGAUUGGAACUUGCUUGGUUCUUGCUCAUUUUGUCAAUGAAGCAUUGAAGAGAAUAUCAUGACUUGUUAUUGCAUACCUUUUGUAGUACUUCUAGGCUUUGUUAGAGUUAUUUACUAGAGUUGGCCCUCUUACAAUAACUCUAGCUACUGGCUCUUCAAAAAUCAUAUCACCAGUAUUCUUUUUUGCUGUAUGCACUGUUGAUCUGUCAUUGGAUAAGAACUGUCAAUAUACUUAUUCAAAUAAUAAUUUCUUACUAGAACUUCUACUUGUUUUUUUAAGUCGUGACACUGUGGUUUGGUGUGGCCAUGGGUGUUAUUCAUCAGCAUUAUCCUAUCUCUUAGGAAAUUUUGGCAAGUAAGGACUAAUGAAGGUAGGUUUUGGUUUUGGUUUAGUUGACCUUGUAUUUUGAGUUGGGUUAACUUGGAUCAUUAUAGUGAGGAUGGCUAUCAACUAGUUAUAUCAUUUCAAGUAGCUCUAUUUAGAGAGGGGUGGGGUUAAUUUCUUUUUACAUAGUAUGGGAGAUAAGAGUGGCCAAAAUCAAAUUUAGAUUGGAUUCGGAUCAAUUUGAUCAUAUAUUAAAUUUUUCGGAUUGACUAAAAAAACUCAUCUGAAUGUACUCGAACUUGAAUCUAAUAUGAAUAUAUUUGGAUAGGAUGAAUAAUUUGGCUUAAGUUAGAUUUGGAUCGGUUUGGUAAAUCUCAAAUUUAAUUUUAAUUUACAGGUCACUAUACUUAAUGGAUAAGACAUAAUUUGUAUAUCUCUGUAAUAAACAUUCAAUUUUGAUAUUCAACUACAUAGAUAGAAGAAAAAUAAGUCAUUUACAUUACAAUUGUGGUGCAUAUCACUGAAAAGUAUCAUAAUAAUUCAUAUUUUUCCAACCAAAAUGAAAAGAAACCAUAAUUUAAACAACAUAAUAAGCAAAUAGAAUUUCUAAAGAAAAGGAAAAAGAGUAGAUGUAAGCUAGAAAAAGAGAAAUCAUGUAUUAGAGAAGAAAAGAGCAUUUUUGCACAAAAACAACUAAUACCAAAACUAAUAAAAAAAUCUCAUAUUCAUUUUCCAAUUUUCUCAUAAGCUUACGCAAUUCUUCCUCUUCUACUCUUCAAAAUCAUUUGCCAAUUUUCUCAAUUUUCUCAUAAGGUGAUCUUUGGUCUUUUGAUGAGAAAAUUACUUGAGUAACUUACGACUGGUUAGGUUUGGGAUUUUGGGGAAAACAAGUUAGGUUUACACAUUACAAACUUCACUAGUCAAAUUGUCGAAUUACAUCCGAAUUAGAUUUGAUCCGAUUAUAAUCUCAUCGGAUUGGGUUGUUUCUAUUUAAUCAAAUUACAACAAUAAUCCAUAUUCAAUUUGAAUAUGUUUGGAUCUGCUGUACGGCCAAGGCGGAUGUACGGUACAGCAGCAGUUUCAAAUUUUACAAUUCAGCUGGGGUAUUUUUCAUAAAUAACAAAUAAAAUACAAUUUUUUAGUAUAAUUAUAAAAAAAAUUUAAAAGCCAGCAGGGGCAUGUGCCCCAGCUCGUCCCAUGCUGGCUCUGUCUCUGCAUGCAACAACAUAUAAAUUCAGUUAAGGAGCCAUUAAAGUUGUUUAUCACUCAACCACAAGGAAUAUUAGUUCAUGAUUUUCAAAACGAAACUAAACAACAAAGUUUCAGCCGGCAAAUACAUUCUCAUGUCAAAGAAUAAAAAUAAAUCAAAAUAAGAAUAAGAAAGACUGAAUUCCAAUUGAUUCCGGCAAACUUCUCCACUGAUGCAGUCUUGAUUCUUGCUCUUGAAAUCUAUUUUUCCUUGUUUCUUUUCUAUUUAUGAUCUUGGUUGACGGCCGCCUUUUUUCUUUUGUACAUGUGCCUCUGUUAUAGUCCAAAAUUAGGGUAAACGGAAGUUCAGAGCGCGCAUCUUCCCAAUUAGGAAAUUGCAGAUUGCAAUCCGUUAAGUAUCUUGCGCGAAAUCUUCUCUGUCAUUGUUCCCGAAUUGCUACAUCACGGUUUUCUACAGCAAUAGCUACAGUAUAUGCACUGUUCCAAAUUUACUCCAAUUCUUCUAUAGUCGUAUUCUUUUGUCCUUUUUGCGAACCCAUUGCUACAACAUCCUUCCCAUGAAAAUUUAACUUCGGGUUACCUACAAUUAUGCAUAUGUUUUAAGGACACAAUUAUUAGAAAUCAAGCAAAUUUUAUUAAACUUAAACUAAAAUGAAUGUUAAUGUAAACUAUCAUUAAAUGCACUAAAACACAUCAAUUACCCUCUAAGUAAUCUUGAUUUUAAGUCUAAAAGUAUCAUGAUAAUCUUAUUUCAUAGAGUUUUCAAUACUCUAACUUCAAGUUGCACGAAUCUAUAAGGAUUCUUAUGAAUUCUUUGCUCGUUACAUUAGCUUUUAACACCAAAACAUCUUCAUGCAAGUAUAGUAUCCCUUCCUCAUCGUAUUAUGUCCAAAUGAUUGGAACUUGCUUGGUUCUUGCUCAUUUUGUCAAUGAAGCAUUGAAGAGAAUAUCAUGACUUGUUAUUGCAUACCUUUUGUAGUACUUCUAGGCUUUGUUAGAGUUAUUUACUAGAGUUGGCCCUCUUACAAUAACUCUAGCUACUGGCUCUUCAAAAAUCAUAUCACCAGUAUUCUUUUUUGCUGUAUGCACUGUUGAUCUGUCAUUGGAUAAGAACUGUCAAUAUACUUAUUCAAAUAAUAAUUUCUUACUAGAACUUCUACUUGUUUUUUUAAGUCGUGACACUGUGGUUUGGUGUGGCCAUGGGUGUUAUUCAUCAGCAUUAUCCUAUCUCUUAGGAAAUUUUGGCAAGUAAGGACUAAUGAAGGUAGGUUUUGGUUUUGGUUUAGUUGACCUUGUAUUUUGAGUUGGGUUAACUUGGAUCAUUAUAGUGAGGAUGGCUAUCAACUAGUUAUAUCAUUUCAAGUAGCUCUAUUUAGAGAGGGGUGGGGUUAAUUUCUUUUUACAUAGUAUGGGAGAUAAGAGUGGCCAAAAUCAAAUUUAGAUUGGAUUCGGAUCAAUUUGAUCAUAUAUUAAAUUUUUCGGAUUGACUAAAAAAACUCAUCUGAAUGUACUCGAACUUGAAUCUAAUAUGAAUAUAUUUGGAUAGGAUGAAUAAUUUGGCUUAAGUUAGAUUUGGAUCGGUUUGGUAAAUCUCAAAUUUAAUUUUAAUUUACAGGUCACUAUACUUAAUGGAUAAGACAUAAUUUGUAUAUCUCUGUAAUAAACAUUCAAUUUUGAUAUUCAACUACAUAGAUAGAAGAAAAAUAAGUCAUUUACAUUACAAUUGUGGUGCAUAUCACUGAAAAGUAUCAUAAUAAUUCAUAUUUUUCCAACCAAAAUGAAAAGAAACCAUAAUUUAAACAACAUAAUAAGCAAAUAGAAUUUCUAAAGAAAAGGAAAAAGAGUAGAUGUAAGCUAGAAAAAGAGAAAUCAUGUAUUAGAGAAGAAAAGAGCAUUUUUGCACAAAAACAACUAAUACCAAAACUAAUAAAAAAAUCUCAUAUUCAUUUUCCAAUUUUCUCAUAAGCUUACGCAAUUCUUCCUCUUCUACUCUUCAAAAUCAUUUGCCAAUUUUCUCAAUUUUCUCAUAAGGUGAUCUUUGGUCUUUUGAUGAGAAAAUUACUUGAGUAACUUACGACUGGUUAGGUUUGGGAUUUUGGGGAAAACAAGUUAGGUUUACACAUUACAAACUUCACUAGUCAAAUUGUCGAAUUACAUCCGAAUUAGAUUUGAUCCGAUUAUAAUCUCAUCGGAUUGGGUUGUUUCUAUUUAAUCAAAUUACAACAAUAAUCCAUAUUCAAUUUGAAUAUGUUUGGAUCUGCUGUACGGCCAAGGCGGAUGUACGGUACAGCAGCAGUUUCAAAUUUUACAAUUCAGCUGGGGUAUUUUUCAUAAAUAACAAAUAAAAUACAAUUUUUUAGUAUAAUUAUAAAAAAAAUUUAAAAGCCAGCAGGGGCAUGUGCCCCAGCUCGUCCCAUGCUGGCUCUGUCUCUGCAUGCAACAACAUAUAAAUUCAGUUAAGGAGCCAUUAAAGUUGUUUAUCACUCAACCACAAGGAAUAUUAGUUCAUGAUUUUCAAAACGAAACUAAACAACAAAGUUUCAGCCGGCAAAUACAUUCUCAUGUCAAAGAAUAAAAAUAAAUCAAAAUAAGAAUAAGAAAGACUGAAUUCCAAUUGAUUCCGGCAAACUUCUCCACUGAUGCAGUCUUGAUUCUUGCUCUUGAAAUCUAUUUUUCCUUGUUUCUUUUCUAUUUAUGAUCUUGGUUGACGGCCGCCUUUUUUCUUUUGUACAUGUGCCUCUGUUAUAGUCCAAAAUUAGGGUAAACGGAAGUUCAGAGCGCGCAUCUUCCCAAUUAGGAAAUUGCAGAUUGCAAUCCGUUAAGUAUCUUGCGCGAAAUCUUCUCUGUCAUUGUUCCCGAAUUGCUACAUCACGGUUUUCUACAGCAAUAGCUACAGUAUAUGCACUGUUCCAAAUUUACUCCAAUUCUUCUAUAGUCGUAUUCUUUUGUCCUUUUUGCGAACCCAUUGCUACAACAUCCUUCCCAUGAAAAUUUAACUUCGGGUUACCUACAAUUAUGCAUAUGUUUUAAGGACACAAUUAUUAGAAAUCAAGCAAAUUUUAUUAAACUUAAACUAAAAUGAAUGUUAAUGUAAACUAUCAUUAAAUGCACUAAAACACAUCAAUUACCCUCUAAGUAAUCUUGAUUUUAAGUCUAAAAGUAUCAUGAUAAUCUUAUUUCAUAGAGUUUUCAAUACUCUAACUUCAAGUUGCACGAAUCUAUAAGGAUUCUUAUGAAUUCUUUGCUCGUUACAUUAGCUUUUAACACCAAAACAUCUUCAUGCAAGUAUAGUAUCCCUUCCUCAUCGUAUUAUGUCCAAAUGAUUGGAACUUGCUUGGUUCUUGCUCAUUUUGUCAAUGAAGCAUUGAAGAGAAUAUCAUGACUUGUUAUUGCAUACCUUUUGUAGUACUUCUAGGCUUUGUUAGAGUUAUUUACUAGAGUUGGCCCUCUUACAAUAACUCUAGCUACUGGCUCUUCAAAAAUCAUAUCACCAGUAUUCUUUUUUGCUGUAUGCACUGUUGAUCUGUCAUUGGAUAAGAACUGUCAAUAUACUUAUUCAAAUAAUAAUUUCUUACUAGAACUUCUACUUGUUUUUUUAAGUCGUGACACUGUGGUUUGGUGUGGCCAUGGGUGUUAUUCAUCAGCAUUAUCCUAUCUCUUAGGAAAUUUUGGCAAGUAAGGACUAAUGAAGGUAGGUUUUGGUUUUGGUUUAGUUGACCUUGUAUUUUGAGUUGGGUUAACUUGGAUCAUUAUAGUGAGGAUGGCUAUCAACUAGUUAUAUCAUUUCAAGUAGCUCUAUUUAGAGAGGGGUGGGGUUAAUUUCUUUUUACAUAGUAUGGGAGAUAAGAGUGGCCAAAAUCAAAUUUAGAUUGGAUUCGGAUCAAUUUGAUCAUAUAUUAAAUUUUUCGGAUUGACUAAAAAAACUCAUCUGAAUGUACUCGAACUUGAAUCUAAUAUGAAUAUAUUUGGAUAGGAUGAAUAAUUUGGCUUAAGUUAGAUUUGGAUCGGUUUGGUAAAUCUCAAAUUUAAUUUUAAUUUACAGGUCACUAUACUUAAUGGAUAAGACAUAAUUUGUAUAUCUCUGUAAUAAACAUUCAAUUUUGAUAUUCAACUACAUAGAUAGAAGAAAAAUAAGUCAUUUACAUUACAAUUGUGGUGCAUAUCACUGAAAAGUAUCAUAAUAAUUCAUAUUUUUCCAACCAAAAUGAAAAGAAACCAUAAUUUAAACAACAUAAUAAGCAAAUAGAAUUUCUAAAGAAAAGGAAAAAGAGUAGAUGUAAGCUAGAAAAAGAGAAAUCAUGUAUUAGAGAAGAAAAGAGCAUUUUUGCACAAAAACAACUAAUACCAAAACUAAUAAAAAAAUCUCAUAUUCAUUUUCCAAUUUUCUCAUAAGCUUACGCAAUUCUUCCUCUUCUACUCUUCAAAAUCAUUUGCCAAUUUUCUCAAUUUUCUCAUAAGGUGAUCUUUGGUCUUUUGAUGAGAAAAUUACUUGAGUAACUUACGACUGGUUAGGUUUGGGAUUUUGGGGAAAACAAGUUAGGUUUACACAUUACAAACUUCACUAGUCAAAUUGUCGAAUUACAUCCGAAUUAGAUUUGAUCCGAUUAUAAUCUCAUCGGAUUGGGUUGUUUCUAUUUAAUCAAAUUACAACAAUAAUCCAUAUUCAAUUUGAAUAUGUUUGGAUCUGCUGUACGGCCAAGGCGGAUGUACGGUACAGCAGCAGUUUCAAAUUUUACAAUUCAGCUGGGGUAUUUUUCAUAAAUAACAAAUAAAAUACAAUUUUUUAGUAUAAUUAUAAAAAAAAUUUAAAAGCCAGCAGGGGCAUGUGCCCCAGCUCGUCCCAUGCUGGCUCUGUCUCUGCAUGCAACAACAUAUAAAUUCAGUUAAGGAGCCAUUAAAGUUGUUUAUCACUCAACCACAAGGAAUAUUAGUUCAUGAUUUUCAAAACGAAACUAAACAACAAAGUUUCAGCCGGCAAAUACAUUCUCAUGUCAAAGAAUAAAAAUAAAUCAAAAUAAGAAUAAGAAAGACUGAAUUCCAAUUGAUUCCGGCAAACUUCUCCACUGAUGCAGUCUUGAUUCUUGCUCUUGAAAUCUAUUUUUCCUUGUUUCUUUUCUAUUUAUGAUCUUGGUUGACGGCCGCCUUUUUUCUUUUGUACAUGUGCCUCUGUUAUAGUCCAAAAUUAGGGUAAACGGAAGUUCAGAGCGCGCAUCUUCCCAAUUAGGAAAUUGCAGAUUGCAAUCCGUUAAGUAUCUUGCGCGAAAUCUUCUCUGUCAUUGUUCCCGAAUUGCUACAUCACGGUUUUCUACAGCAAUAGCUACAGUAUAUGCACUGUUCCAAAUUUACUCCAAUUCUUCUAUAGUCGUAUUCUUUUGUCCUUUUUGCGAACCCAUUGCUACAACAUCCUUCCCAUGAAAAUUUAACUUCGGGUUACCUACAAUUAUGCAUAUGUUUUAAGGACACAAUUAUUAGAAAUCAAGCAAAUUUUAUUAAACUUAAACUAAAAUGAAUGUUAAUGUAAACUAUCAUUAAAUGCACUAAAACACAUCAAUUACCCUCUAAGUAAUCUUGAUUUUAAGUCUAAAAGUAUCAUGAUAAUCUUAUUUCAUAGAGUUUUCAAUACUCUAACUUCAAGUUGCACGAAUCUAUAAGGAUUCUUAUGAAUUCUUUGCUCGUUACAUUAGCUUUUAACACCAAAACAUCUUCAUGCAAGUAUAGUAUCCCUUCCUCAUCGUAUUAUGUCCAAAUGAUUGGAACUUGCUUGGUUCUUGCUCAUUUUGUCAAUGAAGCAUUGAAGAGAAUAUCAUGACUUGUUAUUGCAUACCUUUUGUAGUACUUCUAGGCUUUGUUAGAGUUAUUUACUAGAGUUGGCCCUCUUACAAUAACUCUAGCUACUGGCUCUUCAAAAAUCAUAUCACCAGUAUUCUUUUUUGCUGUAUGCACUGUUGAUCUGUCAUUGGAUAAGAACUGUCAAUAUACUUAUUCAAAUAAUAAUUUCUUACUAGAACUUCUACUUGUUUUUUUAAGUCGUGACACUGUGGUUUGGUGUGGCCAUGGGUGUUAUUCAUCAGCAUUAUCCUAUCUCUUAGGAAAUUUUGGCAAGUAAGGACUAAUGAAGGUAGGUUUUGGUUUUGGUUUAGUUGACCUUGUAUUUUGAGUUGGGUUAACUUGGAUCAUUAUAGUGAGGAUGGCUAUCAACUAGUUAUAUCAUUUCAAGUAGCUCUAUUUAGAGAGGGGUGGGGUUAAUUUCUUUUUACAUAGUAUGGGAGAUAAGAGUGGCCAAAAUCAAAUUUAGAUUGGAUUCGGAUCAAUUUGAUCAUAUAUUAAAUUUUUCGGAUUGACUAAAAAAACUCAUCUGAAUGUACUCGAACUUGAAUCUAAUAUGAAUAUAUUUGGAUAGGAUGAAUAAUUUGGCUUAAGUUAGAUUUGGAUCGGUUUGGUAAAUCUCAAAUUUAAUUUUAAUUUACAGGUCACUAUACUUAAUGGAUAAGACAUAAUUUGUAUAUCUCUGUAAUAAACAUUCAAUUUUGAUAUUCAACUACAUAGAUAGAAGAAAAAUAAGUCAUUUACAUUACAAUUGUGGUGCAUAUCACUGAAAAGUAUCAUAAUAAUUCAUAUUUUUCCAACCAAAAUGAAAAGAAACCAUAAUUUAAACAACAUAAUAAGCAAAUAGAAUUUCUAAAGAAAAGGAAAAAGAGUAGAUGUAAGCUAGAAAAAGAGAAAUCAUGUAUUAGAGAAGAAAAGAGCAUUUUUGCACAAAAACAACUAAUACCAAAACUAAUAAAAAAAUCUCAUAUUCAUUUUCCAAUUUUCUCAUAAGCUUACGCAAUUCUUCCUCUUCUACUCUUCAAAAUCAUUUGCCAAUUUUCUCAAUUUUCUCAUAAGGUGAUCUUUGGUCUUUUGAUGAGAAAAUUACUUGAGUAACUUACGACUGGUUAGGUUUGGGAUUUUGGGGAAAACAAGUUAGGUUUACACAUUACAAACUUCACUAGUCAAAUUGUCGAAUUACAUCCGAAUUAGAUUUGAUCCGAUUAUAAUCUCAUCGGAUUGGGUUGUUUCUAUUUAAUCAAAUUACAACAAUAAUCCAUAUUCAAUUUGAAUAUGUUUGGAUCUGCUGUACGGCCAAGGCGGAUGUACGGUACAGCAGCAGUUUCAAAUUUUACAAUUCAGCUGGGGUAUUUUUCAUAAAUAACAAAUAAAAUACAAUUUUUUAGUAUAAUUAUAAAAAAAAUUUAAAAGCCAGCAGGGGCAUGUGCCCCAGCUCGUCCCAUGCUGGCUCUGUCUCUGCAUGCAACAACAUAUAAAUUCAGUUAAGGAGCCAUUAAAGUUGUUUAUCACUCAACCACAAGGAAUAUUAGUUCAUGAUUUUCAAAACGAAACUAAACAACAAAGUUUCAGCCGGCAAAUACAUUCUCAUGUCAAAGAAUAAAAAUAAAUCAAAAUAAGAAUAAGAAAGACUGAAUUCCAAUUGAUUCCGGCAAACUUCUCCACUGAUGCAGUCUUGAUUCUUGCUCUUGAAAUCUAUUUUUCCUUGUUUCUUUUCUAUUUAUGAUCUUGGUUGACGGCCGCCUUUUUUCUUUUGUACAUGUGCCUCUGUUAUAGUCCAAAAUUAGGGUAAACGGAAGUUCAGAGCGCGCAUCUUCCCAAUUAGGAAAUUGCAGAUUGCAAUCCGUUAAGUAUCUUGCGCGAAAUCUUCUCUGUCAUUGUUCCCGAAUUGCUACAUCACGGUUUUCUACAGCAAUAGCUACAGUAUAUGCACUGUUCCAAAUUUACUCCAAUUCUUCUAUAGUCGUAUUCUUUUGUCCUUUUUGCGAACCCAUUGCUACAACAUCCUUCCCAUGAAAAUUUAACUUCGGGUUACCUACAAUUAUGCAUAUGUUUUAAGGACACAAUUAUUAGAAAUCAAGCAAAUUUUAUUAAACUUAAACUAAAAUGAAUGUUAAUGUAAACUAUCAUUAAAUGCACUAAAACACAUCAAUUACCCUCUAAGUAAUCUUGAUUUUAAGUCUAAAAGUAUCAUGAUAAUCUUAUUUCAUAGAGUUUUCAAUACUCUAACUUCAAGUUGCACGAAUCUAUAAGGAUUCUUAUGAAUUCUUUGCUCGUUACAUUAGCUUUUAACACCAAAACAUCUUCAUGCAAGUAUAGUAUCCCUUCCUCAUCGUAUUAUGUCCAAAUGAUUGGAACUUGCUUGGUUCUUGCUCAUUUUGUCAAUGAAGCAUUGAAGAGAAUAUCAUGACUUGUUAUUGCAUACCUUUUGUAGUACUUCUAGGCUUUGUUAGAGUUAUUUACUAGAGUUGGCCCUCUUACAAUAACUCUAGCUACUGGCUCUUCAAAAAUCAUAUCACCAGUAUUCUUUUUUGCUGUAUGCACUGUUGAUCUGUCAUUGGAUAAGAACUGUCAAUAUACUUAUUCAAAUAAUAAUUUCUUACUAGAACUUCUACUUGUUUUUUUAAGUCGUGACACUGUGGUUUGGUGUGGCCAUGGGUGUUAUUCAUCAGCAUUAUCCUAUCUCUUAGGAAAUUUUGGCAAGUAAGGACUAAUGAAGGUAGGUUUUGGUUUUGGUUUAGUUGACCUUGUAUUUUGAGUUGGGUUAACUUGGAUCAUUAUAGUGAGGAUGGCUAUCAACUAGUUAUAUCAUUUCAAGUAGCUCUAUUUAGAGAGGGGUGGGGUUAAUUUCUUUUUACAUAGUAUGGGAGAUAAGAGUGGCCAAAAUCAAAUUUAGAUUGGAUUCGGAUCAAUUUGAUCAUAUAUUAAAUUUUUCGGAUUGACUAAAAAAACUCAUCUGAAUGUACUCGAACUUGAAUCUAAUAUGAAUAUAUUUGGAUAGGAUGAAUAAUUUGGCUUAAGUUAGAUUUGGAUCGGUUUGGUAAAUCUCAAAUUUAAUUUUAAUUUACAGGUCACUAUACUUAAUGGAUAAGACAUAAUUUGUAUAUCUCUGUAAUAAACAUUCAAUUUUGAUAUUCAACUACAUAGAUAGAAGAAAAAUAAGUCAUUUACAUUACAAUUGUGGUGCAUAUCACUGAAAAGUAUCAUAAUAAUUCAUAUUUUUCCAACCAAAAUGAAAAGAAACCAUAAUUUAAACAACAUAAUAAGCAAAUAGAAUUUCUAAAGAAAAGGAAAAAGAGUAGAUGUAAGCUAGAAAAAGAGAAAUCAUGUAUUAGAGAAGAAAAGAGCAUUUUUGCACAAAAACAACUAAUACCAAAACUAAUAAAAAAAUCUCAUAUUCAUUUUCCAAUUUUCUCAUAAGCUUACGCAAUUCUUCCUCUUCUACUCUUCAAAAUCAUUUGCCAAUUUUCUCAAUUUUCUCAUAAGGUGAUCUUUGGUCUUUUGAUGAGAAAAUUACUUGAGUAACUUACGACUGGUUAGGUUUGGGAUUUUGGGGAAAACAAGUUAGGUUUACACAUUACAAACUUCACUAGUCAAAUUGUCGAAUUACAUCCGAAUUAGAUUUGAUCCGAUUAUAAUCUCAUCGGAUUGGGUUGUUUCUAUUUAAUCAAAUUACAACAAUAAUCCAUAUUCAAUUUGAAUAUGUUUGGAUUGAAUCAAAUCCAAUCAAUCUAAAUCCAAUUCGAUGCUAACCCUUAUGGGAAUAAGUAGCCAUCCUUAUUAUGACCGCUCUACUCACUGAUGGUUUGUCAUGAAGCCUAACUAGUCCACUUAUUUUUUAGCUCUCCUUUCAUUUCGUUUUAACUCCACAAGUUACUCGUCUCUAACUCUUGCUGCUUUUUCCUCCUCGAUUUCAAUAUCCACCUUCACCUAGUCAUAAGCAGUUGAAUAAGAGUUUAUUAUUGGGUUCCUUAAGUUAUACCACAAUUGGCCUAUCUUUACUCCCUCUUUUAAUCCCUUCAAGGCCUGAAGAUGAUUGAAAGCUCCAUAGUCAAGGAUUGCUUGGUGAUAUCUCUUGAAAAAUCUCUUAGAGUUUGAUUUUCUUCUUACUCGAGCCUCAUUGGCUCUAUCAUGUCAUCCUCUGGUGUUAUUGCUCCUAAAAAAUGUUCAGCAAAGUCUCCAUGCAAUUGAUUAGAAGUUCUGAUGCUUCCCUAUGGCAAUUUGCGAUACCAAUCAUGUGCAUGCUAUUCUAAUGUCAAUGGAAACACUCGACACCACUGUAGUGGUGUCAAACCAUGUACUCUAGUCAUCUCAUUAAAUCGUUCUAUAUGCAUAAAGAGUCACUCUUUCUGGAAUAUUUGAGGUUUAAAACUAAUCCCUUGAUAUUGUUGUGCUCAUGAUUUUUGCUGAGAGUAAGAUUCAUUAUCCAUAAUUAUUCUCCAGCUCAGUGCUCUUUCAAUCCUAUACUUCUUCAAUAAUUCGUGCUAACCUAUGCAUCUUAUCUUCUAAUUUCCCAACGCGACUUGGGUUCUACACCCUUAUCUACUUGCAGUCAGCGUUCUGUUUAUUCCAUAGAUUUUCACCGAAGUACGUUUUGGUUGCUCUCCAAAAAAAUAAAAAAGAAAGAAAUCACCUAAUACUUUUGGGGCAAGGCAAGCUUCCAAAUAACAUUGCAAAUGAUUUGGUGAAAAAGCUUUCAUCUAUUCCGGUAAUUUAGAAGCACUUUAAUUCAAUUCUCUCUUAAGAGUCCUAUCACUUUAGGAUGAUUUUUAAGUAAAAUCCUUGUAUAUAUUAUAUUUUUGUUAAUAUAACAAACACUAAAUAUUUAUGAUCUGAAAGAUAGUUGUUGAAUGGAGAUCGUUUCACACAAAAAAGUAUUUAAAAAGAAUGUGGUAUUGUAAUAUUAAAUAAUUUUUUGUAGUGAUAUAAGAGUAUCACACUAGUUUUUUUUUUGCAUUCCAAAAAAUUGAAAAUAAGAUCUAAGUAAUUUCAAGAAUAAAUUAGCAAUAUUAGGAACAAGUUUUACAAAAAGCUUCUGGGACAUGUUAUACAAAUUUGUUAUAUAAGAAAGUCUCUACUAGAUCUUCUUUCCACAUUACAAAAAUUAGAAAUGAGAUCUAAAUCGACCAAUUAUAAAUUUUAUAGUGAGUGGGUCCUAUAUGAAAACAAGGUUUUUUUUUAUUAUAGUGUAGUCAAUUAUCAGCCAUCUACCCUAAGUUUAUUUUAUAUUAAAAAAAUACUAGGAAGAAUUAAUUUGUUUAGUUUUUUACUUUAAUUUUAUAAUUUGUAUUAGUUGUCUAUUAAAAAGAUAGAAUUAUCCUUACUAAAUGACAAAAUAGAAACAAAUACAAAUAACAACUAUGGUCAUUUUGUAAGGGUAAUUCUAUCUUUUUGGCAUCGAAUUGCAUAUUAAACUAUUUUAAGUACUUAAAAUAAUAUAAGUUCUUUAUCAAAUAAAUAAAAUUUUAAACUAUGUAUUUACCAAACAUUUUAAAAUCACAGCUCCUCUACUACAUCUCCAAAUAAAUUCUUAAAAUCAUAAAUAACUAAAUUAAUGGGGUUUUAAAAGGACUCUCCGGAUUUUGCAUGAUUUCUUUAUAUAUAGGUGCUGGGUGAUCAUGUUGGUUCCUAUAGGUACCAUCAGCCACACUUUUUGUUAGUGGUGAAAAAACAAUUUUGGGUACAAUUUGUGAUUUGUAUAACGUGCGGUAUUAAACAUUUGAAACAUGCACCGACAGUAAUCUAAUCAAUAAUUAAAAAAAAUUGUAUAAAAUACAUAUGUCGUAGGCAACUCAGAUCCUUUUCUUUAUAAUUCCAUAUCAUGUGAUUAUCAAAAAACUUCUUGAGAUUUUUAAAUUUUGUAAUUGCACUAUCCUUGAAUUAUCAAAAGACUCUUGAUAAUGUUCUUCUUCUUAAAGAUGCCCUUAAUCCGUAAAUGGUCCAAUAAUUAGUUCAUAAAACGAAUUUAUUACUUUAGACAAGUCUCAAAUAUGCAUACCUCUUAUAACUCCGUAUUGCAUAAUUCCUUACUUAAAUGCAUUUGUUUCCUUUCUCUAAAUUUUAGAAUGGCCUUGUCUACUAAAUUUCCUCUUUAAAUUUGACUGCCAACUAGGAAUUUCGCCAAAAUUUCCACCCCAUCUUACUCUCUGAAAUAUGUCUUCCACGUUACUAUAGCAAAUUUUACAUCUAGGAUACUGAAACAUUUUUUUUUUUUCAAUUUUCAAAUAUUUAGCUGUUGACAAUAGGUCUUUAGCUGCUCACCAAGAGAAAAUUUUCAUCUAAAACUUUUUUUGAUAAGGCAAGCCUCCAAAUAACAUCCAAAUGGUUUGGACAUUCAGUUCUACUCAAAAUUCAGAUUAAUUCACACAUAUUUAGAUUUUAGACAAGAAACAUAUGCCACCUAAAUAAUUAUGACUUAAAAUUAUUUAAUAAUCAUGGCACAUUUAACCUAUCUAAACAUGAAAUAUUGUGGAGACUUAUGUUUAAGCAGGAGGAUAACGUGAGAAAAUUGACACAUUAAUUUACAAUUUGUACGCCAACUGAAUAAUUUUUGUUUGUUUUUUGUUUUUGAUAAUAAAACAAGCCUCGCAAGAGCUUAGGUUUUUAGCCAACUGAAUAAAUUUCCCCACUCAAAUUAGAAACAAUAAAAUCUAAUAAUUAUGUUAUGAGCCCAUCAGACAAAUAGUGAGACAUCAUAUUGUUAAUACCUACUCGUAAAAUUAACGGGAUAACGCGGUUUAUACGGACAGAUUAUCAAGGUAUUGUUAAUACCUUCUGUACCGGUAAUUCUUUUUUUCUUCUUUUUCAACCCCAAAUAAUCAAAAGCUCUCCAAUGGCUUUUGUAUCCACAACUCGUCCAUUUCAUUUUACUUCAAUUUCAGUAUCAGCUCUUAGAUGUAAUUUCUCAUCUUCGUUCCCUCAUACCAGAAAACCCACAUCUUCAAUUUCGGAAAAUGAACCCUCAGAUCCGACUACAACAGCUAAACUGAAGGAGUCGCUACGACUGACAGUCAAAGACGGAGCCUCAAUCGAAAAAUUUCUUAAAGAAAGGUGAAAAUCAUCAGGUCAAGGUGAUAUUAAUCUUAUUACUCCUAAUGAAGCCUUGUGUAUCUUUGAUUACAUGCUCCGUAUGCACCCUUCUCCGCCUCCGGUUUCUUCCUUCAAUAUUUUGUUUGGUUGUCUUGCUAAGAAUAAACAUUAUGAUACUGUCCUUUCACUCUUCAAGAGACUCAAUUCAACUGGGUUGUUUCCAGAUCUUUAUACUCACAGUAUUUUGAUUAACUGGUAGAGUUUCUCAUGGUUUUGUUGUUCUUGGGAGAAUCAUCAGGUCUUGUUUUACUCCAGAUGCUGUGACCUUUACUUCUUUGAUUAAAGGUUUGUGUGCGGAUAGUAGAAUCAUGGAGGCCGCCGCAUUGUUUACAAAACUUAGAGUGUUUGGUUGUGAGCCUGAUGUUUUUACAUACAAUACGUUGAUUAAUGGAUUGUGUCGAACUGGCCAUACAAUUGUUGCUCUAAAUUUAUUUGAAGAGAUGGCUAAUGGAAAUGGGGAAUUUGGUGUCGUUUGUAAGCCAGACACUGUUACAUACAACACUAUCAUCGAUGGUGUUUGUAAGGAAGGUUUCGUGGACAAGGCCAUGGAACUGUUUCUGCAGAUGAAGGAUGAGAAUAUUAACCCCAAUGUGGUUACUUAUAACUCUUUGAUUCACUGUUUCUCUCAUGCUGAUGAUUGGAAUGAGGCUAAACGUUUGUUUAUUAAGAUGAUGGACCAAGGUGUGCACCCUAAUGUUGUGACUUUCAGUGUGAUCGUGGAUGAGCUCUGCAAGAAUGGGAAGAUGGAAGAAGCAAGUAGGUUGUUGGACCUGAUGAUUCAGAUUGGUGUGCAUCCAAACACUUUUGUCUAUAACACAUUAAUGGAUGGGUUUUGCUUGACGGGUAGAGUUAAUCGUGCAAAGGAACUAUUUGUUUCUAUGGAGAGUAACGGGUGCAUGCAUGAUGUUGUUAGUUACACCACAUUAAUAAAUGGGUACUGCAAGACUAAGAAUGUAGAGGAAGCUUUAAAUCUUUAUAGGAAAAUGCUGCCUAAAGGAAUUAGGCCAACAGUUGUUACAUAUAGCACCUUGUUUCUUGGCCUUUUUGAAAUACACCAGGUUGAGCAUGCUUUAAAACUGUUUGAUGAGAUGCAGCAUAAUGAUGUAGCAGCCGAUACAUAUAUAUACAAUACCUUUAUUGACGGGCUCUGCAAGAAUGGUUUUGUUCUAGAGGCACUGGAAUUAUUCUGUGCUAUAGGAAAUAGCAAGUAUGAACUUGAUAUCAUAUCCUACAGCUGCCUCAUUGAUGGAUUGUGUAAAAUAGGCAAACUGGAAACUGCUUGGGAACUGUUUCAAAGUUUGUCUCGUGUAGGCCUAUUGCCAAAUGUUGUAACAUAUAACAUCAUGAUCCAUGGGCUUUGUAAUGAUGGGCAAAUGGACAAGGCACAUGAUUUGUUUCUUGAUAUGGAAGCAAAAGGUGUGGAACCCGAUUGUGUCAUAUUUAAUACGAUUAUGCUGGGUUUCAUCCGCAAUAAUGAGACAUCAAAAGUUAUUGAACUCCUUCAGCGAAUGGAUAAUAGAAAUGUAAUGCCAGACGCAUCUAUACUUUCAAUUGUUGUGGACUUGCUUGUAAAGAAUGAAAUUAGCUUAAACUCGAUUCCACAAUUCAAGAGUCAAUGAGUUUAAUGCUGAUUACUUGCAUGUCAAAGGUAAGUGAGUUUAAUAAUGAUUUAGUCGCAUGUUUCUUCUGCCUGAAAACUCAAUGUGGAGGAUCCUAUUCUUAUUACAACAUGUAAAGGAGUGUUGUCUAAUGUUGGCAUGUUCCUAGGUUCUGUCCAUGGAUUCUGUUUGCAGACAUGGCUAACUUCUUGUUCAACAGAUAAGUUUUAAAGUCUUUGAACUUAAUGUUGUAAAAUAACUUUUUUAUUAUUCAAUUCAUGAGUUUUUCUUCUAUAGCACAUCCUUCUCAUUAGCUGGAAGUGCAAAUUUUUUAGGCUUUUCCUGUAUGGCCUCUUUUUCUGUUCUAAAUAAAAUGGCAUUUUAUUUCCCUCCUGUGAGGGUACAACGUUUAUGUUUAAACUUUCUGUUAGUUAAAUUGGUUGUCUUUGAUAUAGGGAACUUCCAGUUGAGCUGAUUUGUAAUUCGAGUAUAUGAGAUUACCAACUGUAAUGGGAAUUGAUGCAUCAAAAAUUCGAUUUCGAAAUCCUUUCUUCCGCUGUAGGCCCAAGGCGGAUGUACGGUACAGCAGAACACUUUCUGUUAGUUAAAUUGGUUGUCUUUGAUAUAGGGAACUUCCAGUUGAACUGAUUUGUAAUUCGAGUAUAUGAGAUUACCAACUGUAAUGGGAAUUGAUGCCAAAUUAAUUAUGUCAUCAGGUUUUCCAAUCAGUGUUCAUCAUUUAUUUCUGUUAACAAUUAAUAGCACAGCUUGUCUUCGCAGCUUCAUUGGUUCCUCUCAAAAAAGUAAUGCCAGAUGCAUCUAUAGUUUCAAUCGUUGUGGACUUGUAAAGAAUGAAAUUAGUCUGAACUCACUUCCGUCAUUUCCUGUUCAAGAGCAGCAGGGGGAAGUUGAUGAGUCAAAUGUCAAGUUGUUGGAGCAUGUGCUUUCAGCCUAAAACCCUGAUCUGCAGCAUCUCAAUCAUGUUACAAAAGGACAUGUCGCCUGGUGACACCAUGUUCUCUACAGCGCUGUUAAUGGAUCCUGAUUGUUCUUGUGAUCUGGAGAGUCUCAUUCAUAAUACAGAUCUUGAUCAGGACGAGCUAGCAUAUGUGAUCACCAACUCUACAUGGUUGUUGAUGCCAAAUUAAAUAUGGUAUCAUGUUUUUCAACUUGUUAUUUUCUAUAGUCCUUCCUUUGAAUGGCCACAAGAAACUGUAAAAUCACCCUUUGUCUUGUUCCCUCUUAAUGAUCGAUCACUUUGGGAGCUAAUGAAUUAGUUGCACCUUGUCACUUUAUUGGUGCUUGAUUGUCGUUUGUACUUUGAAUUCACAGCAUAUUUUACACUUGAUGUACUCUUUCCAUAAUCACCUUUGAGGGCUGCUAGUAUGUAUAAUUGAAAAACCUUAUAUAAAUUCUAAGCAUUUUUAUUUAACUUGUUGUAAACCUCCAGUGUAUGUCUCUUCUGUGAAAUGAUUCAUACUCUAUGCUGCUAGGACCUAGGCUUAUGACUCUUCUGUGAAAUGAUUUACCCUCACCUGCACACAGACAUUUAUCCCAAUCAAGAAAUCUUCAAACAAUGUGAAAAAAAUUGCUUGAAACACGACGCAGACUUAACCGAUUAAAAUGUCCCUACUGUGAGGAAGGAUGCUAUACAACUGACUCGGAAAAUGUAAAAUGGAUAACGUACGCCCAAGAUGAUCAACUAGAAACACAAUUCAAAACUCGGGCUGCUUUUGGCUGCCCGGCCUUCAGAAGUCAAUAUUUAUAUGAACUUUUGAGGAGAAAUUAUAUGAACUUUUGAGGAGAAAUUAUACUAAGGGUUCAGAAGUCAAUAUUUAUAUGAACUUCAGAAGUCAAUAUUUGGCUGCCCGGCCUUCAGAAGUCAAUAUUUAAAAACUUGGUGAAAUUACCGAUUAAAAUGUCCCUACUGUGAGGAAGGAUGCUAUACAACUGACUCGGAAAAUGUAAAAUGGAUAACGUACGCCCAAGAUGAUCAACUAGAAACACAAUUCAAAACUCGGGCUGCUUUUGGCUGCCCGGCCUUCAGAAGUCAAUAUUUAAAAACUUGGUGAAAUUACCGAUUAAAAUGUCCCUACUGUGAGGAAGGAUGCUAUACAACUGACUCGGAAAAUGUAAAAUGGAUAACGUACGCCCAAGAUGAUCAACUAGAAACACAAUUCAAAACUCGGGCUGCUUUUGGCUGCCCGGCCUUCAGAAGUCAAUAUUUAAAAACUUGGUGAAAUUACCGAUUAAAAUGUCCCUACUGUGAGGAAGGAUGCUAUACAACUGACUCGGAAAAUGUAAAAUGGAUAACGUACGCCCAAGAUGAUCAACUAGAAACACAAUUCAAAACUCGGGCUGCUUUUGGCUGCCCGGCCUUCAGAAGUCAAUAUUUAUAUGAACUUUUGAGGAGAAAUUAUAUGAACUUUUGAGGAGAAAUUAUACUAAGGGUUCAGAAGUCAAUAUUUAUAUGAACUUCAGAAGUCAAUAUUUGGCUGCCCGGCCUUCAGAAGUCAAUAUUUAAAAACUUGGUGAAAUUACCGAUUAAAAUGUCCCUACUGUGAGGAAGGAUGCUAUACAACUGACUCGGAAAAUGUAAAAUGGAUAACGUACGCCCAAGAUGAUCAACUAGAAACACAAUUCAAAACUCGGGCUGCUUUUGGCUGCCCGGCCUUCAGAAGUCAAUAUUUAAAAACUUGGUGAAAUUACCGAUUAAAAUGUCCCUACUGUGAGGAAGGAUGCUAUACAACUGACUCGGAAAAUGUAAAAUGGAUAACGUACGCCCAAGAUGAUCAACUAGAAACACAAUUCAAAACUCGGGCUGCUUUUGGCUGCCCGGCCUUCAGAAGUCAAUAUUUAAAAACUUGGUGAAAUUACCGAUUAAAAUGUCCCUACUGUGAGGAAGGAUGCUAUACAACUGACUCGGAAAAUGUAAAAUGGAUAACGUACGCCCAAGAUGAUCAACUAGAAACACAAUUCAAAACUCGGGCUGCUUUUGGCUGCCCGGCCUUCAGAAGUCAAUAUUUAUAUGAACUUUUGAGGAGAAAUUAUAUGAACUUUUGAGGAGAAAUUAUACUAAGGGUUCAGAAGUCAAUAUUUAUAUGAACUUCAGAAGUCAAUAUUUGGCUGCCCGGCCUUCAGAAGUCAAUAUUUAAAAACUUGGUGAAAUUACCGAUUAAAAUGUCCCUACUGUGAGGAAGGAUGCUAUACAACUGACUCGGAAAAUGUAAAAUGGAUAACGUACGCCCAAGAUGAUCAACUAGAAACACAAUUCAAAACUCGGGCUGCUUUUGGCUGCCCGGCCUUCAGAAGUCAAUAUUUAAAAACUUGGUGAAAUUACCGAUUAAAAUGUCCCUACUGUGAGGAAGGAUGCUAUACAACUGACUCGGAAAAUGUAAAAUGGAUAACGUACGCCCAAGAUGAUCAACUAGAAACACAAUUCAAAACUCGGGCUGCUUUUGGCUGCCCGGCCUUCAGAAGUCAAUAUUUAAAAACUUGGUGAAAUUACCGAUUAAAAUGUCCCUACUGUGAGGAAGGAUGCUAUACAACUGACUCGGAAAAUGUAAAAUGGAUAACGUACGCCCAAGAUGAUCAACUAGAAACACAAUUCAAAACUCGGGCUGCUUUUGGCUGCCCGGCCUUCAGAAGUCAAUAUUUAUAUGAACUUUUGAGGAGAAAUUAUAUGAACUUUUGAGGAGAAAUUAUACUAAGGGUUCAGAAGUCAAUAUUUAUAUGAACUUCAGAAGUCAAUAUUUGGCUGCCCGGCCUUCAGAAGUCAAUAUUUAAAAACUUGGUGAAAUUACCGAUUAAAAUGUCCCUACUGUGAGGAAGGAUGCUAUACAACUGACUCGGAAAAUGUAAAAUGGAUAACGUACGCCCAAGAUGAUCAACUAGAAACACAAUUCAAAACUCGGGCUGCUUUUGGCUGCCCGGCCUUCAGAAGUCAAUAUUUAAAAACUUGGUGAAAUUACCGAUUAAAAUGUCCCUACUGUGAGGAAGGAUGCUAUACAACUGACUCGGAAAAUGUAAAAUGGAUAACGUACGCCCAAGAUGAUCAACUAGAAACACAAUUCAAAACUCGGGCUGCUUUUGGCUGCCCGGCCUUCAGAAGUCAAUAUUUAAAAACUUGGUGAAAUUACCGAUUAAAAUGUCCCUACUGUGAGGAAGGAUGCUAUACAACUGACUCGGAAAAUGUAAAAUGGAUAACGUACGCCCAAGAUGAUCAACUAGAAACACAAUUCAAAACUCGGGCUGCUUUUGGCUGCCCGGCCUUCAGAAGUCAAUAUUUAUAUGAACUUUUGAGGAGAAAUUAUAUGAACUUUUGAGGAGAAAUUAUACUAAGGGUUCAGAAGUCAAUAUUUAUAUGAACUUCAGAAGUCAAUAUUUGGCUGCCCGGCCUUCAGAAGUCAAUAUUUAAAAACUUGGUGAAAUUACCGAUUAAAAUGUCCCUACUGUGAGGAAGGAUGCUAUACAACUGACUCGGAAAAUGUAAAAUGGAUAACGUACGCCCAAGAUGAUCAACUAGAAACACAAUUCAAAACUCGGGCUGCUUUUGGCUGCCCGGCCUUCAGAAGUCAAUAUUUAAAAACUUGGUGAAAUUACCGAUUAAAAUGUCCCUACUGUGAGGAAGGAUGCUAUACAACUGACUCGGAAAAUGUAAAAUGGAUAACGUACGCCCAAGAUGAUCAACUAGAAACACAAUUCAAAACUCGGGCUGCUUUUGGCUGCCCGGCCUUCAGAAGUCAAUAUUUAAAAACUUGGUGAAAUUACCGAUUAAAAUGUCCCUACUGUGAGGAAGGAUGCUAUACAACUGACUCGGAAAAUGUAAAAUGGAUAACGUACGCCCAAGAUGAUCAACUAGAAACACAAUUCAAAACUCGGGCUGCUUUUGGCUGCCCGGCCUUCAGAAGUCAAUAUUUAUAUGAACUUUUGAGGAGAAAUUAUAUGAACUUUUGAGGAGAAAUUAUACUAAGGGUUCAGAAGUCAAUAUUUAUAUGAACUUCAGAAGUCAAUAUUUGGCUGCCCGGCCUUCAGAAGUCAAUAUUUAAAAACUUGGUGAAAUUACCGAUUAAAAUGUCCCUACUGUGAGGAAGGAUGCUAUACAACUGACUCGGAAAAUGUAAAAUGGAUAACGUACGCCCAAGAUGAUCAACUAGAAACACAAUUCAAAACUCGGGCUGCUUUUGGCUGCCCGGCCUUCAGAAGUCAAUAUUUAAAAACUUGGUGAAAUUACCGAUUAAAAUGUCCCUACUGUGAGGAAGGAUGCUAUACAACUGACUCGGAAAAUGUAAAAUGGAUAACGUACGCCCAAGAUGAUCAACUAGAAACACAAUUCAAAACUCGGGCUGCUUUUGGCUGCCCGGCCUUCAGAAGUCAAUAUUUAAAAACUUGGUGAAAUUACCGAUUAAAAUGUCCCUACUGUGAGGAAGGAUGCUAUACAACUGACUCGGAAAAUGUAAAAUGGAUAACGUACGCCCAAGAUGAUCAACUAGAAACACAAUUCAAAACUCGGGCUGCUUUUGGCUGCCCGGCCUUCAGAAGUCAAUAUUUAUAUGAACUUUUGAGGAGAAAUUAUAUGAACUUUUGAGGAGAAAUUAUACUAAGGGUUCAGAAGUCAAUAUUUAUAUGAACUUCAGAAGUCAAUAUUUGGCUGCCCGGCCUUCAGAAGUCAAUAUUUAAAAACUUGGUGAAAUUACCGAUUAAAAUGUCCCUACUGUGAGGAAGGAUGCUAUACAACUGACUCGGAAAAUGUAAAAUGGAUAACGUACGCCCAAGAUGAUCAACUAGAAACACAAUUCAAAACUCGGGCUGCUUUUGGCUGCCCGGCCUUCAGAAGUCAAUAUUUAAAAACUUGGUGAAAUUACCGAUUAAAAUGUCCCUACUGUGAGGAAGGAUGCUAUACAACUGACUCGGAAAAUGUAAAAUGGAUAACGUACGCCCAAGAUGAUCAACUAGAAACACAAUUCAAAACUCGGGCUGCUUUUGGCUGCCCGGCCUUCAGAAGUCAAUAUUUAAAAACUUGGUGAAAUUACCGAUUAAAAUGUCCCUACUGUGAGGAAGGAUGCUAUACAACUGACUCGGAAAAUGUAAAAUGGAUAACGUACGCCCAAGAUGAUCAACUAGAAACACAAUUCAAAACUCGGGCUGCUUUUGGCUGCCCGGCCUUCAGAAGUCAAUAUUUAUAUGAACUUUUGAGGAGAAAUUAUAUGAACUUUUGAGGAGAAAUUAUACUAAGGGUUCAGAAGUCAAUAUUUAUAUGAACUUCAGAAGUCAAUAUUUGGCUGCCCGGCCUUCAGAAGUCAAUAUUUAAAAACUUGGUGAAAUUACCGAUUAAAAUGUCCCUACUGUGAGGAAGGAUGCUAUACAACUGACUCGGAAAAUGUAAAAUGGAUAACGUACGCCCAAGAUGAUCAACUAGAAACACAAUUCAAAACUCGGGCUGCUUUUGGCUGCCCGGCCUUCAGAAGUCAAUAUUUAAAAACUUGGUGAAAUUACCGAUUAAAAUGUCCCUACUGUGAGGAAGGAUGCUAUACAACUGACUCGGAAAAUGUAAAAUGGAUAACGUACGCCCAAGAUGAUCAACUAGAAACACAAUUCAAAACUCGGGCUGCUUUUGGCUGCCCGGCCUUCAGAAGUCAAUAUUUAAAAACUUGGUGAAAUUACCGAUUAAAAUGUCCCUACUGUGAGGAAGGAUGCUAUACAACUGACUCGGAAAAUGUAAAAUGGAUAACGUACGCCCAAGAUGAUCAACUAGAAACACAAUUCAAAACUCGGGCUGCUUUUGGCUGCCCGGCCUUCAGAAGUCAAUAUUUAUAUGAACUUUUGAGGAGAAAUUAUAUGAACUUUUGAGGAGAAAUUAUACUAAGGGUUCAGAAGUCAAUAUUUAUAUGAACUUCAGAAGUCAAUAUUUGGCUGCCCGGCCUUCAGAAGUCAAUAUUUAAAAACUUGGUGAAAUUACCGAUUAAAAUGUCCCUACUGUGAGGAAGGAUGCUAUACAACUGACUCGGAAAAUGUAAAAUGGAUAACGUACGCCCAAGAUGAUCAACUAGAAACACAAUUCAAAACUCGGGCUGCUUUUGGCUGCCCGGCCUUCAGAAGUCAAUAUUUAAAAACUUGGUGAAAUUACCGAUUAAAAUGUCCCUACUGUGAGGAAGGAUGCUAUACAACUGACUCGGAAAAUGUAAAAUGGAUAACGUACGCCCAAGAUGAUCAACUAGAAACACAAUUCAAAACUCGGGCUGCUUUUGGCUGCCCGGCCUUCAGAAGUCAAUAUUUAAAAACUUGGUGAAAUUACCGAUUAAAAUGUCCCUACUGUGAGGAAGGAUGCUAUACAACUGACUCGGAAAAUGUAAAAUGGAUAACGUACGCCCAAGAUGAUCAACUAGAAACACAAUUCAAAACUCGGGCUGCUUUUGGCUGCCCGGCCUUCAGAAGUCAAUAUUUAUAUGAACUUUUGAGGAGAAAUUAUAUGAACUUUUGAGGAGAAAUUAUACUAAGGGUUCAGAAGUCAAUAUUUAUAUGAACUUCAGAAGUCAAUAUUUGGCUGCCCGGCCUUCAGAAGUCAAUAUUUAAAAACUUGGUGAAAUUACCGAUUAAAAUGUCCCUACUGUGAGGAAGGAUGCUAUACAACUGACUCGGAAAAUGUAAAAUGGAUAACGUACGCCCAAGAUGAUCAACUAGAAACACAAUUCAAAACUCGGGCUGCUUUUGGCUGCCCGGCCUUCAGAAGUCAAUAUUUAAAAACUUGGUGAAAUUACCGAUUAAAAUGUCCCUACUGUGAGGAAGGAUGCUAUACAACUGACUCGGAAAAUGUAAAAUGGAUAACGUACGCCCAAGAUGAUCAACUAGAAACACAAUUCAAAACUCGGGCUGCUUUUGGCUGCCCGGCCUUCAGAAGUCAAUAUUUAAAAACUUGGUGAAAUUACCGAUUAAAAUGUCCCUACUGUGAGGAAGGAUGCUAUACAACUGACUCGGAAAAUGUAAAAUGGAUAACGUACGCCCAAGAUGAUCAACUAGAAACACAAUUCAAAACUCGGGCUGCUUUUGGCUGCCCGGCCUUCAGAAGUCAAUAUUUAUAUGAACUUUUGAGGAGAAAUUAUAUGAACUUUUGAGGAGAAAUUAUACUAAGGGUUCAGAAGUCAAUAUUUAUAUGAACUUCAGAAGUCAAUAUUUGGCUGCCCGGCCUUCAGAAGUCAAUAUUUAAAAACUUGGUGAAAUUACCGAUUAAAAUGUCCCUACUGUGAGGAAGGAUGCUAUACAACUGACUCGGAAAAUGUAAAAUGGAUAACGUACGCCCAAGAUGAUCAACUAGAAACACAAUUCAAAACUCGGGCUGCUUUUGGCUGCCCGGCCUUCAGAAGUCAAUAUUUAAAAACUUGGUGAAAUUACCGAUUAAAAUGUCCCUACUGUGAGGAAGGAUGCUAUACAACUGACUCGGAAAAUGUAAAAUGGAUAACGUACGCCCAAGAUGAUCAACUAGAAACACAAUUCAAAACUCGGGCUGCUUUUGGCUGCCCGGCCUUCAGAAGUCAAUAUUUAAAAACUUGGUGAAAUUACCGAUUAAAAUGUCCCUACUGUGAGGAAGGAUGCUAUACAACUGACUCGGAAAAUGUAAAAUGGAUAACGUACGCCCAAGAUGAUCAACUAGAAACACAAUUCAAAACUCGGGCUGCUUUUGGCUGCCCGGCCUUCAGAAGUCAAUAUUUAUAUGAACUUUUGAGGAGAAAUUAUAUGAACUUUUGAGGAGAAAUUAUACUAAGGGUUCAGAAGUCAAUAUUUAUAUGAACUUCAGAAGUCAAUAUUUGGCUGCCCGGCCUUCAGAAGUCAAUAUUUAAAAACUUGGUGAAAUUACCGAUUAAAAUGUCCCUACUGUGAGGAAGGAUGCUAUACAACUGACUCGGAAAAUGUAAAAUGGAUAACGUACGCCCAAGAUGAUCAACUAGAAACACAAUUCAAAACUCGGGCUGCUUUUGGCUGCCCGGCCUUCAGAAGUCAAUAUUUAAAAACUUGGUGAAAUUACCGAUUAAAAUGUCCCUACUGUGAGGAAGGAUGCUAUACAACUGACUCGGAAAAUGUAAAAUGGAUAACGUACGCCCAAGAUGAUCAACUAGAAACACAAUUCAAAACUCGGGCUGCUUUUGGCUGCCCGGCCUUCAGAAGUCAAUAUUUAAAAACUUGGUGAAAUUACCGAUUAAAAUGUCCCUACUGUGAGGAAGGAUGCUAUACAACUGACUCGGAAAAUGUAAAAUGGAUAACGUACGCCCAAGAUGAUCAACUAGAAACACAAUUCAAAACUCGGGCUGCUUUUGGCUGCCCGGCCUUCAGAAGUCAAUAUUUAUAUGAACUUUUGAGGAGAAAUUAUAUGAACUUUUGAGGAGAAAUUAUACUAAGGGUUCAGAAGUCAAUAUUUAUAUGAACUUCAGAAGUCAAUAUUUGGCUGCCCGGCCUUCAGAAGUCAAUAUUUAAAAACUUGGUGAAAUUACCGAUUAAAAUGUCCCUACUGUGAGGAAGGAUGCUAUACAACUGACUCGGAAAAUGUAAAAUGGAUAACGUACGCCCAAGAUGAUCAACUAGAAACACAAUUCAAAACUCGGGCUGCUUUUGGCUGCCCGGCCUUCAGAAGUCAAUAUUUAAAAACUUGGUGAAAUUACCGAUUAAAAUGUCCCUACUGUGAGGAAGGAUGCUAUACAACUGACUCGGAAAAUGUAAAAUGGAUAACGUACGCCCAAGAUGAUCAACUAGAAACACAAUUCAAAACUCGGGCUGCUUUUGGCUGCCCGGCCUUCAGAAGUCAAUAUUUAAAAACUUGGUGAAAUUACCGAUUAAAAUGUCCCUACUGUGAGGAAGGAUGCUAUACAACUGACUCGGAAAAUGUAAAAUGGAUAACGUACGCCCAAGAUGAUCAACUAGAAACACAAUUCAAAACUCGGGCUGCUUUUGGCUGCCCGGCCUUCAGAAGUCAAUAUUUAUAUGAACUUUUGAGGAGAAAUUAUAUGAACUUUUGAGGAGAAAUUAUACUAAGGGUUCAGAAGUCAAUAUUUAUAUGAACUUCAGAAGUCAAUAUUUGGCUGCCCGGCCUUCAGAAGUCAAUAUUUAAAAACUUGGUGAAAUUACCGAUUAAAAUGUCCCUACUGUGAGGAAGGAUGCUAUACAACUGACUCGGAAAAUGUAAAAUGGAUAACGUACGCCCAAGAUGAUCAACUAGAAACACAAUUCAAAACUCGGGCUGCUUUUGGCUGCCCGGCCUUCAGAAGUCAAUAUUUAAAAACUUGGUGAAAUUACCGAUUAAAAUGUCCCUACUGUGAGGAAGGAUGCUAUACAACUGACUCGGAAAAUGUAAAAUGGAUAACGUACGCCCAAGAUGAUCAACUAGAAACACAAUUCAAAACUCGGGCUGCUUUUGGCUGCCCGGCCUUCAGAAGUCAAUAUUUAAAAACUUGGUGAAAUUACCGAUUAAAAUGUCCCUACUGUGAGGAAGGAUGCUAUACAACUGACUCGGAAAAUGUAAAAUGGAUAACGUACGCCCAAGAUGAUCAACUAGAAACACAAUUCAAAACUCGGGCUGCUUUUGGCUGCCCGGCCUUCAGAAGUCAAUAUUUAUAUGAACUUUUGAGGAGAAAUUAUAUGAACUUUUGAGGAGAAAUUAUACUAAGGGUUCAGAAGUCAAUAUUUAUAUGAACUUCAGAAGUCAAUAUUUGGCUGCCCGGCCUUCAGAAGUCAAUAUUUAAAAACUUGGUGAAAUUACCGAUUAAAAUGUCCCUACUGUGAGGAAGGAUGCUAUACAACUGACUCGGAAAAUGUAAAAUGGAUAACGUACGCCCAAGAUGAUCAACUAGAAACACAAUUCAAAACUCGGGCUGCUUUUGGCUGCCCGGCCUUCAGAAGUCAAUAUUUAAAAACUUGGUGAAAUUACCGAUUAAAAUGUCCCUACUGUGAGGAAGGAUGCUAUACAACUGACUCGGAAAAUGUAAAAUGGAUAACGUACGCCCAAGAUGAUCAACUAGAAACACAAUUCAAAACUCGGGCUGCUUUUGGCUGCCCGGCCUUCAGAAGUCAAUAUUUAAAAACUUGGUGAAAUUACCGAUUAAAAUGUCCCUACUGUGAGGAAGGAUGCUAUACAACUGACUCGGAAAAUGUAAAAUGGAUAACGUACGCCCAAGAUGAUCAACUAGAAACACAAUUCAAAACUCGGGCUGCUUUUGGCUGCCCGGCCUUCAGAAGUCAAUAUUUAUAUGAACUUUUGAGGAGAAAUUAUAUGAACUUUUGAGGAGAAAUUAUACUAAGGGUUCAGAAGUCAAUAUUUAUAUGAACUUCAGAAGUCAAUAUUUGGCUGCCCGGCCUUCAGAAGUCAAUAUUUAAAAACUUGGUGAAAUUACCGAUUAAAAUGUCCCUACUGUGAGGAAGGAUGCUAUACAACUGACUCGGAAAAUGUAAAAUGGAUAACGUACGCCCAAGAUGAUCAACUAGAAACACAAUUCAAAACUCGGGCUGCUUUUGGCUGCCCGGCCUUCAGAAGUCAAUAUUUAUAUGAACUUUUGAGGAGAAAUUAUAUGAACUUUUGAGGAGAAAUUAUACUAAGGGUUCAGAAGUCAAUAUUUAUAUGAACUUCAGAAGUCAAUAUUUGGCUGCCCGGCCUUCAGAAGUCAAUAUUUAAAAACUUGGUGAAAUUACCGAUUAAAAUGUCCCUACUGUGAGGAAGGAUGCUAUACAACUGACUCGGAAAAUGUAAAAUGGAUAACGUACGCCCAAGAUGAUCAACCAGAAAGUGAGAGAUUAGGAUCACCAGUCAGUCAGAUUUGGAUAGAAAGUGAGAGAUUGCUAUGCCGUGCCAUUGCUUCAAUCCUAAAUGCUUUCAUCUCCCUGAAAAGUAUACAAAUGUAGGGGUUAAAACAGAAUAGAUGAAACCGUAUUGAGGAACUCAACUGAGACAGAUGAUAAAUGAAAACUAACCAACCUUCACGCAAAACUCGUACAUCUCCCUUUAAGAGCUGACUUUCUGAGAAGAGAUCACCACAAUCGUUCACAUCAAAAGUCUCCACUUGAAAAUUUUAUAACCAUAGUACUCAUUCCAUUCAAACCAGAUCCUUGAGAUCAGUUCCUUCUUCAGGCAAGUGGCAUGAUCUUCCUCUUUAGGAGACUCAGCAGCAACCAGUCUAUAUGCACAAACUUUCUUUGUUUGGCCUGGCCGGAAAGCCCUGCUGAUUGCCUGGCGGCUCACUGAUGGAUUAAAGAGAACAUCCAGAAUAAUGAUUCAAAUUUUUGUGGAAUUACUUGUAAAGAAUGAAAUUGGUUUAAACUCGAUUCCACAAUUCAAGAGACAAAACUAAGCAGACGGGUUGAAUCUUUGAUUUAGUAGCAUGUCUCUUCUGCUUUAAAAGCAGAUCUGGAGAAUCCCAUUCUUAUUACAACGUGUGAAGGAGUGUUGUGUAUUGUUGGCAUGUUCCCAGGUUCUGUUCAUGGAUUCUGUUUGCAGACAUGGCCGACUCUUUGUUUCAUCGGAUAAGUUUCAAAUAAUUCUGGCAAAUUUUUGUUGUAAAAUUACUUUUUUAUCAUUUAAUCCAUAUGCCUCUUUCUCAUUACCUGCAAGUGCAAAAUUUUUAGGCUCGUCCUAUUAGACCUCUUUUUCUUCUCUAAAUAGAUAAAAUGGCAUUUCAUUUUUCUCUUGCGAGGGUGCAGGUUUAUGCUGAAACUUUCGGUUAGUUAAAUUGAUUGUCUUUGAUAUUGGAACUUGUAGUUGAACUAGUUUGCAUUUAGAAUAUAUGAGAUUACCAACUGUAACGGGAAUUGGUGCCGAAUUGAUUAUGUUAUCAGGUUUUUCAGUCUGUGCUCAUCUUUUAUUUCUGUUAAUAAUUAAUAGCACAGCUUGUCUUCUCUGCUUCUUUGGUUCCUGUCUAUUGUCAAAUAUAAACUUGUAGAGACAUUUUGUUUUGGCAUGGCACAUGCUAGAUUUUGUUUUUGGUUUGAAUGAUACUACACAUCUAAGUGAUUGUCCAGAUUUUUUUUCAUUCCUAGUGACAUGGCACUCAAUUGAAUGGUGACUCGUGAAUCAUGAUUGUGUGUGUUGGUCUUUGUUAUACUACGUGUUGGCAAGACAAAGUCUUUUGAAACUGCCAAACUUUUCUAUAUGAAUAUUGAAGACAAUAUGAUAAGAUAAAAUUAAUCAAAAACAUAUAUACUUGACAGGGCUGGAACGUCUGUUAUUAGUCCUCGCCUUCCAUUCUUGUUUCAUAUUCUUCUGCUAACAAAUCUUGAUCAUGAUAGUCUUCUCUGUUAUUAAUCCUUUUUUUUUUUUUUUUGGCUUUUGGAUUUUGUUUCCUUUAUAUAUAUAUAUAUAUAUAUAUAUAUAUAUUGUAUACAGUUAUUAGCAUCGACAACUUGAGCUUGCAGUCUUGUGAGUUUAGAGCCUACCAAAGUAAGCAUACACAUGACAAUGAAGAAUUGAAGAUUGUGAACGGUUUACUUGUGCGGCUAUGUUAGAAAAAUUUGACUGAUCGUGAAGAUAUUGAGAGAUCGUCCAUCUUGGUACUGCUAUUGUUGGAGCCUUGAAGUGUCAACUUCUCAUCGUUGCCUACAGUUGCCUCAUUGAUGAAUUGCGUAAAAUAGGCAAACUGAAAAUUGCUUGGGAACUGUUUCAAAGUUUGCCCCGUACAGGCCUAAUGCAAAAUGUUGUAACAUAUAACAUCAUGAUUCAUGGGCUUUGUGAUGAUGGGGCAAAUGGAUAAGACACAUGAUUUAUUUCUUGAUAGACCAUUCUCAGGGCACAAAGGGUGUGGUGCCCAAUUGUGCCAUAUUUACUAUGCUUAUGCGAAAGAAUGAGACAUCAAAAUUUUCAUCACUCAAUGGAUAUAAGAAAUGUAAUGCCAGCUGCAUCUAUAGUUUCAAUUGGUGUGCGCUUACUGGUUAAGAAUGAAAUUAGUUUAAACUUGAUGCCAGAAUUCAAGAGACGGUUAAUUAGAUGAGUUGAAUGUUGAUUUAGUAGCCUUGAAGUUUUGCAAAUGUUUCCUGAUGGAUAAAUUGAACUUGUAUGCACACAUGUAAACUAAAAGAAAAAUUAUUUUAAUAGAAAACGUGCUUUAAGCAUGUCCUUCGGCAUGAGGUAAUACUAUAAAGUUUUUUUUUAAGUAAGGUUAUAAAUUCUAGCAAUUGAGUCUCAAUUUGAUAUUAUAUUCAUCUGGUAUAGGGUAGAAUAUUAAUUUUUUCAAUUAUAAAAUUUACUAUCUAAUAGAUGAACAACACUUAACAGUUGAGAAUGAAAUGGAGACUCAAUUGUUGGGAGUCCAAUCACUUUUUUCUCUUUUAACUUGCUAUUUUUGUUGUCCGAAAUUAUCUGAAGUUCCAUGCUUGCUCCAAUAGAACAAAUAAGAUAGGUUAUGAUCAACUUUUUUUUUUUCCAAAUAAAGGAACCACCUGCAUCGAUACUCCAUAAGCAAGUUUUUUCUUUUGACUGCCCCUUAUAUUUGUCACACUCCUUGUACUAGUGCCCAAUGAAACCACAACAGAAGCAAAAAUAUGGCAAUCUCUCAUAUACUACUGUAAUUGGAACAUCGUCUUCACCUUCAAGUUCUAAAUAAAUAAUUUUCUUUAGUGGUUGUGUGAUAUCAAUUGAGAUACUUACUCUGGCAUACUAACCAAUGCACUCUCCUUCCACGUCCACAUCAACUUCUUCAACUAUACCAAUUGCCUCUCCCAAUGCUUUGAUUAUUUGCUGGUCUAUACACCCAACUGGGACAUUAUGAAGUUGUACCCAAAGGCAGCAUGAGUAAAUGAUUGUUUUGUUAUUUCCCCAAUUCCACUUGCCUCUUUUAGAACUAUUAGAGCUCGUUCAAAAUGCCACUGCCCACUUGAUAAAAUUCUCAUCUUAUCAACUUCAAAGGCAAAUUUAACUUAAAAAUCUUACUCCCCAGAUUUUCAAUUUCACCUAUUCUACUAUUCUGCAUACUUGUUGUAAUGCUCACUUGAGACCCUCUCUAGUAACUCCUCUUAGAUGUAAGACUUUGCCCAGCAAACAGCCCUCAACUAGCUCUCUCUCAUUCCCUUUCAUGACAUUACCAACAACUUCUUUACUCUAUUUUCCUUCUUCUAAUAUAAUAACUUUACACUUGCAAAUUAGUUCUUCUGUUUUCAUUAGGCACUAAAAUAUAAAUCCAUUGUGAUAACUCUUGAGUAUCUACCACUUCCUCUGUAAUUAAGACUCAACAACUCAAAUGAAAAACUUAAAAGUAAAAGAGACACCCAACUCGUGAGCAACUUUCGCAAUCUUAUGGGCUACUACCAUUUCAUUCUAGAUUCUCGCUCAUAGAGGGAGAACCUGUGAAGAAAGACUUCUACAGGUAGGAGACCGCUUACACAGUAGAUUAUUUAUAUUUCUUUGGACUAACUUUUUACUUUAUCAAAGACAAAAACAACAUAAACAAAGACAGAAGAUUAACAAAAGCAUCAAUUGCCAAAGAGUAGAGAGUAUUAUUAUAUUUUAGGAACAUAGGUUAUGACCAACUUAAAAGAAGCAGUUAGGGCUUGUUCAGUACUGUUUUAAAAGCCUUAUUUUCAUUUUUGUUUUGGGAGUACAAAUAUAAUACAUAUUUAGUGGGUUGAAUCCAAAAAUUAAAUCAUAAAAAAGAAUUGAUAUUCACUUUUACAGUUAUAAAAUUAAGAACCUAUUGAACAUGUUCUCAAACAAAUUACAAAUUAAAUUAAAACAUAAACCCCAAAAUAAAAUCUAAAAAGUUAUCUUCCUCUCCUAAAAUCUUAUCUCCUCCCUCUCGUUAUCUCUUCACAACUCUUCCUUCUUCAUGGUAGAUACUUCUCCUCUAACCACAACCCACCUGAAUUGUGCACCGAUCUCUCUCUCCCCAUCCCCUUUAUCUAGGUCUACUUCACAGUUCUCUUCCUCUCAGUGGCUGUUACUUGUUCAUCAACCGCAAUCCAUCGUCGUAAGGUACUACGUCGGAAUAUUUUACCAAAAACAUGUCAAGACAAAGUGAUGUCUAUCAUGGUUUAUUACUGCAAGUGCAUUAUUUUCUUUGUACUAAAGUGAAUCUUUGAUGUAUUUAUUAAAUUUGGUGGAGCAAUCUUAGUUAAUUUUGAUGAUUUAUAUAUGCAUUUAAUUUCAUUUUUAAUAAUUCAUGUGCAGGAAAUAUGGAUUCUUGGCUUUGCUUGGACUGAUGGUUUGGGCAAUUUCAUUUGGAAUCAAUCAACUUCGAGGAUAAACACUUGUAGUUCAUCCUUUGUUCUCUAAUUUUGUUCAUGGGACUUGCUUUUCUUCCAUCCAACUUUUUUGUUCUCUAUUUCUAUGGUAGCAGUUUUAUGUUUUGUGUUGGUGGGAAACUUCAUGCUGCAAUUUUGUCAAAUUCUGUUGACAUACCCUAAUCAGUAAUGACUUUGCUGCAUGGCGAAAGCAUAAGCUCAUAGUUGACAUUGUUGUCAUUAGAGCUUGUUUCCAUAAAAAAAAAGUGUAAUUUGAAAGUACAUUGUACACUAUUGAAUUUGAAUUAUCUCCAACAAGUGUUGAUGCAUGAUGUCCAUCAUGUAAUUUUUUUAUAAUCAUUUUGUUUAACUUAUAUGUGUUGUAAUAUAUAGCUUAAUUAUAGUGUAAAAACAAUGGCAAUGUAAUUUUUUUAUUAAUGCUAAUACUAAAACUUUAUCAUCAUGCAAUGUUUUAUAAUUAUUUUGAUUAAAUUAUUUAUGGUAUAUUUUUGUAUUAAUUAAAUAAACAAUUAGUUUUUAUUAAAAAAAUUAUGACUUAUAUGUUUAGUAAAAAUUGUUCAUGAAAAUAGUAUUACCGAACACAUUUUCUCUGUGUUUAUCUUUUUCAAUUGUGUUUACGGAACACAUGUUACUGUUUUCAAUUUAGAAAAUACAAGAGAUAGAAAAUGAUAUCAGAUGUCUAUUUAAUUCAAAAUGCAGCAACUGCAAAACACUAUUUUUACUCUCAUUUUUCUUUUUAGAAAAUACUAAUUUAGAAACAAUACCAAACAAGAACUUAGUUUUAGUACGAAUAAUGUUGUGUUAGUUUUAUAGGUUUACAUGCACCCUUAGAUUUAUUAGAAGUAUCAGCCCAACCCCCUAGUUACUGUUGACUAAUAUCGAACCCGCUGCCCGAUGUUGACUCUUGAAAGUAACUAUAACAUCUAUAUUGUAAUCUCACUUUAUUAACUAAUAAAUUUUAAAAAUAUAAACAGAUCAAUAAUAACAAAAUAAUUAAAGUUGAAAUCCAAGAAAUUACACAAAAAACCACACCUAAACCAAACCUGAAAACCAAAAUGCAUAAAAUUUCAUUAAUUUAGGUUGUGACAAUGAGUCGUCUACAUUAUAUGAUGAAGGAACAAUUUCUAUCAUUUUACCAAGUUAUUAAUACUAUGUUUACGUACUAGAGUGGGCCUGAGAAGUAUAGAUUCCUCACACACUAGAGUUUACUUGCAUAUUCUAAGAGGUGUGGGAAUCUCACUCCGUUGAUCCCACCCAAUUUUGAAGUAGGGAGUGUGAUUUCCACUCCCACAAGGGAAGGUCCACUCCCACAACUUUAUUUUUUACCUUUCUUUUAUUAAAUUUAAUACAAUCAUAUUUAGUAAAAUAAAACAAAUAACAUCAUAUUUAUUUAAUAAAUAUUAUUAUAUUAUUUUAUAAAAUUCUAUUUAUUAAAAAGAAUAAUAUUAAUCUUAUUUAGAUAAAAUUAUUAUUAUAUUUAUUUAAAAAUAAUAGCAUUAUAUUUAUUUAAUAUUAAUAAUUAAUAUUAAUAAAUAGUUUAUUCUAAGAAAAUAUUUAUUUUGCACUAUAUUAUUAAUAAGAGAUAUUAUCAUUUUUCCACCAAAAUUAUUCUGAUACAUCAUGUUAGUAGCACGGUUUGGUAAAAACAUCAUUUUACCACCAAACGUUUAAAUUGUUAGUAUUUUUCCACAAUUCCGUUAAAACUCAGUUAAUAUUUAAUGAAAAAUGCAUAAAAAGUCAAUUUUACCCCUGGAGCAUAAAAGAUAAUUUUACCCUUUAAAAAGGAAGAACGACAAAAGAUGAUUUAAUUACAAAAUUACCCCCAAAAGACGACAAGACAAUUUUACCCUUUAAAAAGGGAGAACAACAAAAGACGAUUUAAUUACAAAAUUACCCCCAAAAGACGACACUGCUGCGAGAGUGAGAGAGAUAUGGGUCAGUGACAGUAAGCGAGAGAGGACGGAGAUGGAACAAGAAACGAGAGAGAGGGGGGUUGAUUUCGAUUUUUAGGGCUUCCAUAUCCAAAUUGCUUGUUUUUUUACAAUUGCAAAACACAACGUUUUGCCUUCGCAUGAGAUGUCCAAAAUGCCCUUAUGAUGUCAACAUAAUUUUUAUUUAGUUAACGGAAUGGUGGGAAAAUACUAACAAUAUAAAUGUUUGGUGGUAAAAUGAUGUUUUUAUAAAAUCGUAGUACUGAAAUGAUGUAUCAGAAUAACUUUGGUGGGAAAAUGAUAAUAUCCCUAUUAAUAAUAAUGUUUUAUUUGUGUUGCUCUUAUCAAUAAUUUUUAAUUUAAAUAAUUAAAAUUAAAACUAAUAAAAAUUUAUGAUUUACAUAAUUAAUAAUAUUAAUAAUUAUUGUUAAUUUACAAAUAUAGUGAAAUAAUAUAUUUUAUUUCAAAUAUAUUUUUUUAUUAAUUUUGUAAUUAAAAGGUACAAUUCUUUAAAUAAGUGUAAAACCGUAAUUUGAAACCAUUUACUCCCUUCUCAUUCUAGUGAGAGGAAACAACUUGCUCCCACUCCACACUCUUAAUCACAAGAUUCUCACUUCUCAAUAUUCCCACUAUAAUUUAAAAUGUAAACACCGUUUAAAACAUCAAAUAAAAUUCUCAAUUAAGUAAACCAUAAUGUGAUUGCAUAUAAAAAAAAAUUAAUAAUAUUAAUUUUCAUAAGAAUUUAUGCUCGUAGUAUUACUUUACUUUUUAUUAACCGUUGCUUCAACUUAUGGUAGAUUGUAACAUAUGCACUUUAAUUUUCUUAAUUAAGUGUAUUAUUUAAUUUUUCUCAUUCGAUGUUAAUUUUAAAUUUGUUUUGACAUAAAAUUGAGACAAUUCGAAUACGAUUCAAUGGCCGUGUAGCUGGAUUUUAUUUCAACAUGGGUCAGGCAUUAGCUUAGUUAGUAGUAAUCUUUAAAAAAAAAAAGCUAGUUUAUAUAAAUGGAAAAGGGGGAGCUGAUUUCCAAAAGAGGAAAGAAAGAGGGGCACGCGAGAGAAAAGGAGAGAGAGAGAGAGAGAAGUUGACCCGUUUAGCCCGACCCGACCCGACCCACAAGACCGACCCGGCUCCAACUCCCGUUUCUGGCCACCAUUCCAAUCAAGCUUGGUACCAAUCUGAAGCUUGAGCGACGCUGGCCAUAUCCCCGCUGUCAUCGUCACCGAAAAACAGCCACAACGCCGGUGAUCAUCGUCAAUCUCGCUGGAAUUAGGUUGCACCACCGGCUGGGUUCGACUCCUCACAUCACCAGCUUUCAUUUCCGACUAACCCCGCCACCUGAAACCUUUGUUUUGGCCCUGAAUGACCACCGGAAAGCUCACGGCUUUGGGAGCACGAUCCGCCGCCAUCUCCGCGUGUGGGAGGUCACCGUCGACGCCAUUGGGCUCACCGAGGUCAGAACUAUCAUACUUGAGCUUUCCGUCGCCGUUGACUGAAGUCCGGUCACCGUUGAGCAGUGGGGGCAAUUUGGUAAUUUCACAAGACUUUAAGGUGGAUUUUUAAUUUGGUAAUUUUAGGUUAGGGCAAUGAGGUAAUUUAAGACUUUGAGGGUAAUUCGGUAAUUUAAGUUAUUAAGAGCAUUUUGGUAAUUUCGCACUUUGAGGGUAAUUUCUUAAAUUCAAAACUUGUGAUUAAUUUUGUUAUCCGAAUUGAGGACAAUUUGGUAGUUUAAGAUAUUGAAGAUGAUUCGAUAAAUUAUGAUUCCGAUGGUACUUCGGUAAAUUUCGGUGUCAGGGGCAUUUUGGUAAUUUUUGGACAUAAGGGUAAUUUUGAAAUUUUAUGUAUCCGGGAGUUUGGUUUUGAGCUUUAUUUCAUACUGUUAGUCGUAUUUCAUGAUACAGAUAAUAAUUAUGUCGUUUAUUUAAUUAGGAGGACUCGCGAGCAAAAAUCAACCAGCGGACGUUACAUACUGUUAGUCGUAUUUCAUGAUACAGAUAAUAAUUAUGUUGUUUAUUUAAUUAGGAGGACUCGCGAGCAAAAAUCAACCAGCGGACGUUAGUGAUACCGAGUCUGGACAUCGUCACUGUGACUGGAAUAUACAAAACUUAUUUUCAUGGUAUAUUCUGAUUUUACCAUACAGUACAACAUGUUUUGAUAAUAAGUAUUUGAUGCUUUGAUUUAAUGAUUUUCUAGAAAUUUGAUUUUCAUUCUACGUGCUGAUAUUUAUUAUUAUUGAAAAUGAGUUUGAUUAAUGAUUUUAUUAUCAUUUUUUUUGAGUAAAUGCAUGAUAUUAGAAUUGAGUGGAUUUGAGAUAUGUUGAAUAAAAAGGAAAUGGGAUUUUAUAUGUGAUUAUAUGUUUGCGUGCAUGUGCAUAAAAGAUUGUUUGGAAAAUCAUUGGAAGUACCUUUCCCCUUUUAGAUACAGAGAUACAUAUAAUAUGAGAUGAAUACAGUGAUACAGAUGAUAUGAGAUGAGAGGUUUUUGGGGCCCGUCUGAACACACACAAAGACUUUGGGCCGUGUGUUUGGGCGCUUUUUCCUUUUGGGGGCUUAUGCAUACAGUAUGAUGAUUACAUAAAUACAGAUGUUGAGAUACAUGAGAUAUGAGAUGACAUUUUCCUAUAUAUCCAUUGUAACUCCAGGGCAUGAUGGUUCCCUGAUUGUCCGUCCGUCGAGGUCCGAAUAUGAUGAGAUUAUUCCGCUGGAUACUUGUUUGAUGAUAGUUUUUUGUAUCUAGUAUUUGAUAUUAUAAGUAUUAUGAUUUCAUUGAUUUUAUGCAGAUUUAUGUAAUAUUGUUAUUUCAGUGCAUGAAUUAAAUUAAAUAAGUUUAUGUAAGUUCUUAUGAUAUUUUGAUGAAAUUAACUUGGAAAAGAUUAAAUCAUUUUAAAUAAAUUUAUUUUUCCAAAAACUACUAUCCACUCACUGAGCUCACUGAGUUUUAUACUCACCCCGUUUUUAUUAUAUUUUUCCUCCUAUAGGAAAUUUGCAGGUACAUCAGUCGACCCAGCAACGAUAGUUAGAUUGAAAUUAUGGCCACGUGAUGGUGUUAGAAAUCAUAGAUGUUUUGUUGGGACAUGUUGAAUUGUAUAAUUUAUUACUUAUUUGUGAUUAAGGAUAAAUCAUUAUAUUCUUGACAUUAUAUGAUUGAAGGAUACUGAUAUUUAAAUUGAGGAAGUUGGUUGUGGAUGUUGAUUAAAUAUUGUAUUAUUUUUGGGAGUAUUAAUUGUAUAAAUUGUAGGUUUGGGGAUGUCAUAAUUAUAUAGAAAACUGUCGAAUUUUUUGUAAAAUUCUUAGAUAUCAGAAUUAUUAUUAGUUUGAUUAGGCGAGAUUAGAUAGACUCGUCCUGGGGAUUCGGGGCGGGUCGUUUCAUAGAUAUUAAGAGAACAAUAAUAAUAUAGCUAUAAAUGGUUGCAUACUAUCAAUCAACUUAACACUAUAAUUACCAACAAAUCCUUAAUACUAUAAAUAAUUAAAUUAUUGGGGUUUUAAAAUAACUCUCCAAACUUUGCAUGAUUUCUUUAUAUGUAGGUGCCAUGGUUCCUAUAAGUAAUAUCAGCCACACUUUUUGUUAUUGUUAAAACAAAUUUAUAAGUACAAUUUGUGAAUUUGUACAAAAUGUGGUAUUAUACAUUUGAAGCAUGAACCGAGAAGACAAUGUUGUGUCACUAAUAAAGAAAAAAAAAUUGUAUAAACUACAGAUGUUGUAGUGUAACUUGUAUUCUUUUUAUUUAUAAUUGUACCUAUCAUGUGAUUAUAAAAAAAACUGAGAUUUUAAAAUUUUGUAAUUGCACUAUUUUUGGAUUAUCAGAAGGCUUCCUCUCCUUAGUGAUGCCCUUAAUCCAUAAAUGGUCCAAAAAAUAAUUCAUGAAAUGAAUUUAUUAUUUUAGAUAAGUUUCAAGUACGCAUACCUUUACUAGCUCCAUAUUGCAUAACUCCUCAUUUCAAUCAAUGGAUACAUUUGUUUACUUUUUCUUUCUUGUAAAUUUUUGAAUGGCCACAAUUCUAUAGAUAAUUAAUUAAGUGUUAUUGUUAUCAUUAUUUUGUAGAUUUAUAUGUGAGGUGGGGACGUUGGGGGGCAUGUAUCUCAAUAUAGCAGAGGGCCAUAAUAUUUAUUCUUUAAGAGGAACCACAACCAACAUCAAUGCUUUAAGUUCCAUUCCAUGUUCCUUCUAUGCACCAGAUUGCAUAAACAACAUUGAUUAUCCAAGGUCAAAGUCUCUCAAAGACUCUAGUUACAAUACAAAGCAUGGGUUAGCGGCCAAAAUUUUCUUGCAAUGAAAGGCUCGUAAACUGAUGAUAGCUGUUGGAUGGUUUUGGGCCCCAAUGGUUUUAAUAUUAUUCUCUUAAAAACAUAUAUGUUGAUUAGAGACGAGAGGAAAAAGAUAAUCUGAUUCAGCAAGCUGCAGAGGAAAGAGCACGCAGUGGAGUUCAGAUUUUGAAUUCUCUUGUUAAAUUGUUUUUAAUUUACUACAAGGUAGAAUACGUUGCAGUGUUAAAAAAACACUUUGAACAUCCUAUUUUUGUAUUACAAAUAUACCAAGAUUUAAAUUAUUAUUUUUCUUUAUUAGUAUAAACUAAAUUUUGCCUGAAUUCUCAUCCUUGUAAGUGGAAUUUUAUUGUGAAACUAAUAGUCAUUCCUAGUUGAACUAUCACUUUGAACAUAUGUGUCCUCUCUAAUAACAGCUUCCAAACCUGCAGCUACCUGCUUCUCAGCAUUAGAAGUAGCCAUAAUUAGGAGGAGGGCAAACUUCCAAAUAACAUUCCAAAUGGUAUUGUGAAAAAAUUUCACCCUUUUGGUAAUAAAAAAUAACCUUAUUUCUAACUUUCUAUUAACAAUCUUACCACAAAGUUCUCUCUCAAGUAGAAACAUUAUAUAUAUAUAUUAAUUUUUUGUUAAAAUAAACAAAACCAGUGGCGGAUCUACAGCUGGGCUAGGUCUAGAAAAAAUCAUUUAAACCCCUUGUCUUUUGAUUCAUUUUACAUAAGGAUAGACUUUUUAUUUUAUUUUUAUAUAAGUCCCCAAUUCAGUUACAAUUAUGUUUUUGUCAAAUUUCAUAGAAUAAUAGAGUUUUUACUUUAUUUUCAAAUAUUUCCUUAACUCAAUUAUAUUUUUUUCCCAACUGAAAUUAAUGACUUAUUUUAUAAAAUAAUUAAAUUAUAUAUUUAUUGAAUAGAUUGAAAACAUUAGGGGUUUAAAAUGUUAUUUUUAAUUUGUUUUUAAAAAAUUUAAUUUAACAAAGUAUGUGAAUGUAAUAUAACAUCGUCACUAUUAUUAAAAAUACUAAAAACAUAUAUAAUAAAAAUUAUUCAUAAAUUCAUAAAUUUUUUAUGUAAAUGUUAACAUUUUAUUUAUUAUUUACAUUAACUUAGAGGAUAAGUUAGAAAGUAAAAUUUGAGUAUUUUAAUCUGAUUUUUUAAAGAGAGUCAGAGUGUCUGGCAAAGAAAUAACAGCACGCAAGUACCUUUUUGCUAGGUUAGAGUUUAGUUUAUUAUUGAAACUCUUGACGACUAAUAUUUUUAUAAUUUAAAAAGAUGAAUAGAUUUUAAUUGUUUAAUUUAUUUAAGCUUGGUAACUAAGGUGGCAUUUGUUUUUUAACUUAAUGACUUAAAGUGACUUAACUUAAUUAAUUAAGUUAAUUAGAAGUGUUUGUUUUUAUAACUUAGACUUUUUAGAUAAUUUUGACUUAAUAAAAUAAGUCAAUUUUUUUGGCUUUUUACUUAAUGGAGAAAUUUGAAUUAAGUCAAUUACUUACUAAUGUCAAAAAUAUCCAUGUUUUAUAAUUUAUUUUUCAUAUCUAUCCCAAAACUCACCCAUAGAACAUUUACCCCACAUAAAAAUAUCCUUAUUUUUUAUUUCUUAUAUUAUAUACGAUAAAAUUUGAAAUUUAUGGUAUUUUAUACGAAUGUAAAAGUACAUAUUUUUAGCUUUUUCAGUUGAAAAAAACAAACAACUUAAUACUUAUUUUCCGAGAUUCAGACGAAAAAACAAACAUAUUAUUCAGAUUCAGACAUACAGAUCUAUUCAGAAUUCAGACUAAUUCAGGUCUAUUCAGAUUUCAGACAAAAAAACAAACGCCACCUAAGUAUUUUUCAAACAUAAAGUUGUACUUGCACUUUUUAAAUGAUUAUAAUUACAUUUAUUGACUUAUUCUAAUUUAAAAUUCUUAAUAGAUUUAUUAAUUCUUAUAUAAUUAGAUGUUAUUAUAGGUUGCAAUGUUAGAUUUAAUAAUUAAAAAUAGUAUUUUUAUAUUUGAAUUAUCUUUUGUUUUUUAGUAUUUUUGUACAAUUAUUUUUGUUUAGAGUAUAUAUUCGUAGAGUUUUUCGUGUCCCCAUUAUUUGAUGUACUUCUUUUUACUUAUGAAUAUUUAUGUUCACUUCAAAAUAUAAAAUUUUAAAUUUAGCCCGGGGUAAUAUAAAUUCUUAGGUCCGCCCCUAAGCAAAACUAAAUAUUUAUGACUUAAAAGAUAGGUGUUGAACAGAGGCAGUCUCACAGAAAAAAAAAAAAAGUAUUUGAAAGCAGUGGUGAUAUCAUAAUUUUUUGUAUUGAUACGAGAGUAUCAUACUAGAUUUUUUUCCGCAAUACAAAAAGUUUGUAUUCAAGAAUAAAUAAGCAAUUUCGGGAACAAAUUUUACAAAAAGCCUCGAGGCCAUGUCGUAUGAAUUUGUGAUACCAAAAAUAGUAUACUAGUCAGUAUAUCUUCUUUCCACAUUACAAAAAAUUAGAAAUGCAAUCUAAAUCGAUAUCAAUUAAUAAUUUUAUAGUACACGAAAUCAAGGUAUUUUUUCAUAAUUUAAGAAAUUAUUAGUCAUUUACCCUAAAUUUACUUUGUCUCCAAAAAUACUACGAAAACUUUAACUUGUUUAGUUUUUUACCUUAAUUUAUAAUUUAUAUCAAUCACUCACUAAAAAGAUAAAAUUAGCUCAUAAAAUGACAAAAUAAAAACAAACACAAAUGACAAUACCAGUAAUUUUAUAAGGAUAAUCAAGUCCUUUUGGCACCAAAUUACGUAUUAAAAUAAUUUAAAUAUUAUAAAUUAUUUUCAGAUUGAGUGAGGAACCCUGGUCAUUUUAACAAUUAUGGUCAUUUAAUCUAUCUAAACAUGAUAUUUCAAGUAGACUUAUGUUUGCGUGAGAGGAUAAUGUAAAAAAAGUGGCACUUUUAUUCAACUGAAUAAAUUUCACAAUUUAAAUUAGAAAAGGAUAAAAUUUAAUAAUUAACUAUUUUUUGAACUAAUUCAAUCGGGAGCCAUUAUUUGUAGGCUGUAGCGGUCCCAAAAGCAUGACAUUAUUGUGAGUAAUGUAUCCUACUUGCAAAAUAAACGGCAGAAUGCGGUUUGGGGACGGAUUAUCGAGGUAUUUGUUAAUAUUCGGAAAUGAGAAGAAAAGGUCAAAUAAAAUUUUAACUUAUUAUUAUUAUUAUUAAAGAUUGUAACUCAGAUGAUUAGACAAAUAAAGGAGCUAAAGGCCACUUGGCGGCUUCACUAGGAGCUGUUUGAGUUUAAUUCUAUUGGUAAAAUUCUAUUUUGGUAAUUCUAUUCUUCUUCUUUUCAACCCCAAAUAAUCAAAAGCUCUCCAAUGGCUUUCGUAUCCACAACUCGUCCAUUUCAUUUUACUUCAAUUUCAGUAUCAGCUCUUAGAUGUAAUUUCUCAUCUUCGUUCCCUCAUACCAGAAAACCCACAUCUUCAAUUUCGGAAAAUGAACCCUCAUAUCCGACCGCAACAGCUAAACUGAAGGAGUCGCUACGACUGACAGUCAAAGACGGAGCCUCACUCGAAAAAUUUCUUAAAGAAAGGUGCAAAUCAUCAGGUCAAGGUGAUAUUAAUCUUAUUACUCCUAAUGAAGCCUUGUGUAUCUUUGAUUACAUGCUCCGUAUGCACCCUUCUCCGCCUCCUGUCUCUUCCUUCAAUAUUUUGUUUGGUUGUCUUGCUAAGAAUAAACAUUAUGAUACUGUCCUUUCACUCUUCAAGAGACUCAAUUCAAUUGGGUUGUUUCCAGAUCUUUAUACUUAUAGUAUCUUGAUUAACUGCUUUUGCAAAAUGGGUCGAGUUUCUCCUGGUUUUGUUGUUCUUGGGAGAAUCCUCAGGUCUUGUUUUACUCCAAAUGCUGUGACCUUUACUUCUUUGAUUAAAGGUUUGUGUGCGGAGGGUAGAAUCAUGGAGGCCGCUGCAUUGUUUAUGAAACUUAGAGUGUUUGGUUGUGAGCCUAAUGUUUUUACAUACAAUACUUUGAUUAAUGGAUUGUGUCGAACUGGCCAUACAAUUGUUGCUCUAAAUUUAUUUGAAGAGAUGGCUAAUGGAAAUGGGGAAUUUGGUGUUGUUUGUAAGCCAAACACUGUUACAUACACUACUAUUAUCGAUGGUCUUUGUAAGGAAGGUUUUGUGGACAAGGCCAAGGAACUGUUUCUGAAGAUGAAGGAUGAGAAUAUUAACCCCAAUGUGGUUACUUAUAACUCUUUGAUUCACGGUUUUUGUUACGCUAAUGAUUGGAAUGAGGCGAAGUGUUUGUUUAUUGAGAUGAUGGACCAAGGGGUACAGCCGAAUGUUGUGUCUUUUAAUGUGAUCAUGAAUGAGCUUUGUAAAAAUGGGAAGAUGGACGAAGCAAGUAGGCUGUUAGAAUUGAUGAUUCAGAUUGGUGUGCGUCCAAAUGCUUUUGUCUAUAACACAUUAAUGGACGGGUUUUGUUUGACAGGUAGAGUUAAUCGUGCGAAGGAACUAUUUGUUUCUAUGGAGAGUAUGGGUUGCAAACAUAAUGUUUUUAGUUACAGUAUUUUGAUAAAUGGUUACUGCAAGAAUAAGGAAAUAGAGGGAGCGUUAAGCCUUUAUAGCGAAAUGCUCUCUAAAGGUAUUAAGCCAGAUGUUGUUAUAUAUAACACCUUGUUUAUUGGCCUUUUUGAAAUACACCAGGUUGAGCGUGCUUUCAAGCUGUUUGAUGAGAUGCAACGUCAUGGCGUGGCAGCUGAUACCUGGGCGUAUAGAACCUUUAUUGAUGGGCUCUGCAAGAAUGGUUAUAUUGUAGAGGCAGUUGAACUAUUUCGUACUUUGAGAAUUCUCAAGUAUGAACUUGAUAUUCGAGCCUACAACUGCCUCAUUGAUGGAUUAUGUAAAUCCGGCAGACUCAAAAUUGCAUGGGAACUAUUUCGUAGUUUGCCUCGUGGAGUCCUAAUAGCAGAUGUUGUAACAUAUAACAUCAUGAUCCACGCGCUUUGUGCUGAUGGAAAAAUGGACAAGGCACGUGAUUUGUUUCUGGAUAUGGAAGCAAAAGGUGUAGCACCCAAUUGUGUCACAUUUAACACGCUGAUGCUAAGUUGCAUCCGCAAUAAUGAGACAUCAAAAGUUGUUGAACUCCUUCACAGAAUGGAUGAGAGAAAUGUAAUACCAGAUGCAUCUACACUUUCAAUUGUUGUGGACUUACUUGUAAAGAAUGAAAUUAGCUUAAACUCGAUUCCACAAUUCAAGAGUCAAAGGUAAGUGAGUUUAAUAUUGAUUUAGUCGCAUGUUUUUUCUGCCUGAAAACCCCGAUCUGGAGGAUCCCAUUCUUAUUAACACAUGUAAAGGAGUGUUGUCUAAUGUUGGCAUGUUCCUAGGUUCUGUCCAUGGAUUCUGUUUGCGGACAUGGCUAACUUCUUGUCCAACAGAUAAGUUUUAAAGUCUUUCAACUUUAUGUUGUAAAAUAACAUUUUUAUUAUUCAAUUCAUGAGUUUUCCUUCUGUAUCACAUACUUCUCAUUAGCUGGAAGCGCAAAUUUUUUAGGCUUUUCCUGUAUGGCCUCUUUUUCUGCUCUAAAUAAAAUGGCAUUUUAUUUCUCUCUUGUGAGGGUACAAGGUUUAUGUUUAAACUUUCUGUUAGUUAAUUUGGUUGUCUUUGAUAUAGGGAACUUCCAGUUGAACUGAUUUGUAAUUCGAGUAUAUGAGAUUACCAACUGUAUUGGGAAUUGAUGCCAAAUUAAUUAUGUCAUCAGGUUUUUCAAUCAGUGUUCAUCAUUUAUUUCUGUUAACAAUUAAUAGCACAGCUUGACUUCUCAGCUUCAUUGGUUCCUCUCAAAAAUAAUCUUGUAAAGACAAUCUUUCUUGGGCAUGGAAAAUGCUAGAUUGUUACAUGGCAUUCAAUUGAAUGAGGACUCAUGAUUGUGUGUAUUGGUAUUUGUUAUACUAUGUAUUGGCAAGACAAAGUUUCUUGAAACUGACAAACUUUUCUCUAUGAAGAUUGAAGAAAAUAUGAUAAGAUAAAAUUUAUCAAAAGCAUAUAUGCUUGCCAGGGAUGGACCUUUGAUUAUUAGUCCUCGCCUUUCGUGCUUGUCUGUUCUGUGAAAUAAUUCAUUCUCCAUGCUGCUAGGGCCUAGGCUUAUGACUCUUCUUUGAAAUAAUUCAUUCUCCACAAUGUGAAAAAAAUGCUUGAAACACGACACAGACUUAACUGUUUACAGGAAAAGCGGCAGAAACUUGUGAAAUUACCGAUUAAAAAGUACCUACCAUGAGGAAGAUGCUAUACAACUCACUCGGAAAAUGUAAAAUGGUUAACAGACAUCCAAGAUGAUCAACCAGAAACACAAUUCAGAACAUGGGCUGCUUUUGGUUACCCGGCUUUCAGAUUAGGAGAUUAGGAUCCUAAAUGCUUUGAUCUACCUGAAAAGUAUACAAAUAUCAGAGUUAAAACAGAGCAGAUGAAAACGUAUUGAUGAACUCAACUGAGAUAAAUGACAAAAGAAAACUAACUUUUCCUGUACAAAACUCGCACACCUUCCUUUAAGAGCUGACUUUCCAAGAAGAGAUCACCACAAUCGUUCACAUCAACAGUCUCCACUUGAAAAUUUUUAUAACCACAAUAGUCAUUCCAUUCAAACCACAUCCUUGAGAUCAGUUCCUUCUUCAAGCAAGUAGGAUGGUCUUCCUCUUGAGGAGGCUCAGCAGCAACCAAUCUAUAUGCAUAAACUUUCUUUGUUUGGCCUGGCCGGAAAGGCCUGCCGAUUGCUUGGCGGGUUUCUGAUGGAGUAAAGGUAACAUCCAGAAUAAUGAUCCAAAUUUUUGUGGACUUACAUGCAAAGAAUGAAAUUGGUUUAAACUCGAUUCCACAAUUCAAGAGUUAAUGAGUUUAUCUUGAUUCUGUAGCAUGUCUCUUCUGCUUUAAAACCAGAUCUGGGGAAUCCCAUUCUCAUUACAACAUGUGAAGGAGUGUUUGUGUAUUGUUGGCAUGUUCCCAGGUUCUGUUCACGGAUUCUGUUUGCAGACAUGGCUAACUCCUCGUUUCAUCAGAUAAGUUUCAAAGUCUGGCAACUUUUUGUUGUAAAAAUAACUAUUUCAUUAUUCAAUUCAUGAGUUUUCCUUCUAUGGUGCAUCUUUCUCAUUAGCUGUAGUUUCAAAAUUUUUAGACUGAUUUGUAAUUCGAGUAUAUGAGAUUACCAACUGUAUUGGGAAUUGAUGCCAAAUUAAUUAUGUCAUCAGGUUUUUCAAUCAGUGUUCAUCAUUUAUUUCUGUUAACAAUUAAUAGCACAGCUUGUCUUCGCAGCUUCAUUGGUUCCUCUCAAAAAUAAUCUUGUAAAGACAAUUUUUGUUUUUUGGCAUGUUAAAUGCUAGAUUGUUUGUGUGUAUCGGUAUUUGUUAUACUAUGUAUUGGCAAGACAGUUUCUUGAAACUGACAAACUUUUCUCUAUGAAGAUUGAAGACAAUAUGAUAAGAUAAACUUUAACAAAAGCAUAGAUGCUUGCCAGCGCUGGACCUUUGAUUAAUAGUCCUCGCCUUUCGUUCUUGUUUCAUAUUCUUCUGCUAACAAAUCUUGAUCAUGAUUGUCUUCUCUUUUCUUUGCAACCCACAUAUAAAGUCUCGGCCAUAAGCCUCGAGGCCUAUUCUCUUUUGUAAAGGUGAGUUGAAGAAACUGCAAGGGACUCCAAAGCAAAUGGUGUAGAGCACCUUUCACUUAUCACGGGCACAGGAUUACUCUGACUUUCUGCAUUUUACUGUUGGCUAUGGUUUGAUGCAUUAUUUAUUGUUCUGAAAUACCAUUCUCGUUGGAAGUUCAAUCAUUACUGUUUCUUUUUUCCCCCCUUUUUACUUGAAGUUACCUGAAGCUCCAAUCGAACGAGUAAUGUAAUGUAGGUGUUGACCAACUCCAAAUAAGUAGUUAGUUGCCUAGUAGUUGCUUUGCAUGAAAUAUGUUUUUGGUAUGAAUAAUGUUGUCUUAAUUUUACAAGCUUCCAUGGAACUCCUAAUUUGUUGGAAGUAUUAACUCAACCCGUCAUUUAAGGUUAGAUUUAACCAUUGACUUAUGUUGACUAUUAAAAGUAUUAUAAUAUUCUAUAAAUAUAACGAAACCCCCCUUUAUUAACAAAUAUAAUUUAAAAUAUAAAAAAUUAAUAAUAAAAAAUAACAAAGUUGAAAUCCAAGGAGCAACUUCUAUCCCCUAACCAAGUUAUUAAAUAUUAGAGUAGAUAGAGGCAUAUACUUUUCUUCAUGAUUCAGAAUCAUAUCUCAAAUAAAAUUCUCAAUGAUUGCAGGCCUCAAUACCAUUAAGAUGAACUAGACUAUCAUGAAAUUUUGUGCAUCUUGCAAGGUCCAAUUUCUCCAAGUUUAUCAUCAAGCCAAAAAAUGUCAUAAUUCCUUUUAUAGUAAUUUCAUAGUGUUUACUAAACGGUAAUAGAAAUGGACUGAAACACAAAUAGGGAAUGCAAGUUAGAAUAAGGAUGGCAAUGGUGAGGGGGGAGGGGACCAACAUCCUUGUACCCAUCCCUGAUGUUCUGUAUAUGUCCCCAUCCCCUUCCCGUCCCCAUCAAAAUUACUUAAGGGAAUUCACGUCCUCCCUCUGAAUAAUAACAGGGAAUCCCCAAAGGUCCCCGAUCCCCAAAUAACUGAUAUAUUUGUUUAGUUUUCAAACUUAAUUUAAUCAUAUUAAGCUAAAAAUAUAUAAAAUAAAAUGAAAAUGAUCAUGAAUGCGCCUUAUAUUUCAUUCAACUCCUUCAAACUUUUGGUAUAUAUAAUAUUCAAAUAAUGAUUUUCAAAACAAAAUUCAAAUAAUGUGAUUUUUAUACAAUAUUGACGUGAUUGUUGUCCAUGAGUAACGAUACCUACUGAUCACCGACUAUGAUGCAACAAAGCCGCAUGUGUGGCUGCUAGUUGACAUUGCGAUGAGUUAGUGUAACCCCCACUUUUAUUUAUUUAUUUUUUUCCUCUUUUGCCCUUAUUAAACUGAGUAGGAUAGUUAUUAUUGAGUGUUUGUGUGUGAGUAAAAUUUAUCGGAUUGUUUUAAAUAAGUUACGUAAGUUAUUUUUUUAAAAAAAAAAUAUUUAUUAAUUACCAAGUAUUUAAGAGAAAACCAUAUUUUUAAGAAGCCGUUUUUUAUUUUUCUUACACCGUUACAAACCCUAGAAAGAAAAGAAAGAAAUAUAAGUCUUUGCAAAAGGAAAAGAAAGUUUUAUCACUUCUUUUCUUAGUGUUUGCUUUAAGGUAUUAAGUAUUUCUUCGACUUAUAUGAUUUAUUUUUAUGAAAUUGUUUGCAUUUAAUUACUUGUAGUAUGAAUUGGGUAAUAUAUGUGUUUGUAAUGUUGUGAUGAUAUGAACAGUCUCUAUUCCUUGCUUGAAAUCGUUUUCUUUAUUUAGAAUCACGUGAAUAUCUUACAUAUCAUGGAACUAGACAUCCUAGGCUUUCCAUUGAUAGGUUUUGUGUUGAAAUCGCCUGAGAAUGCAAAUUCUUAUGGGUUUUCGAAGUUGGGUUACUGGUGCUGGAAAAUUCCGAUUUUCAGCAGCGGUUCUCAACUCUGGAAAUUUUUCUAUAAGGUUACACAUCCUUAAAAAUUAUGCUGAUUUUUGUGCCAACAGAUCUAUGUCUCCUAUGCUUGCAUGUUUAAUUUCGUAGUUUUAUUCUUUAUGGUUGAAUUAUUAAAAAUCGUAACAUAUGGCUGCUGCAAAUCUGGAGACUGUUAUCCAGAAUUUCAGAAGCUGAAACGUGUAACAGUUGAGCUAGUUUAUGAAUAUUACAUGCCAUGUUAGGAUUUUAUAAUGAAAUUUCAAUCUUUCCUCUGUCUUUAAAAACUGGAAUCGCGAUUUUUGGGCAUGUAAAAUAAAAGAUACGAAUUUUUGAAAUUCUGUUUUCAAAUCUGGAAUUUUCUGGACGGGUUAGAUGUUCUCGGAAAUAAAACGUUUUAAAAUAGUCUCAGGAGUCCAAAAAUUAUGAAUUUUAAUUAUAUGCUUUUUGAAUGUGUCUUCUGUAAUUAGAAAAAAAGAUGCAUAUUACUUCGAGUACCAAAGAAUAUUUUAUGAAUUUUCUAAGUGGAAAAGGUCUGUUUUGGUCAGUGCUGGACAGUUUUGUUACUUUGGUGAAAGGUCAAUAUUCUGACUCGAUUUUGACUUGUGCUGAUUUUUGUGAAAUAUUGUAUGCAAUGCUAUGCAUGUUCACAGUGCCUCUGUAAAUUUUCAUGGUUUUCCGACAUGUGUAUAGGUUAUUAAAAAUCAUCAUGUGCAGGAUACUCAUAAGUAUAGGAUAUGUUUAGAAUAUGUAUAAGUAUUAAGCUAGUAUUAGUGUCUAUGAUUUAAGGAUGAUUGGGAUUAUAUUUAAGGUUAGAGAUGAUAUUGAUAAGAAUAUUUUUAUGAUGAUUAUAGGACGUGGGUGAGCUCGUUGGUUGUUCUUGAGGUAUUGAAUUGAUUGCUACGGAUCGAGGUAAGUAGAUUCAUGCAUAAUGUGCUUUAUAAUAAAUGCAAUUUAUGUUACAAAAAUUAUGUUUAAAUGGAAAUUUUUACAAAACUGAUUUCUAAAAUAUUUAAAUGAAUUUUGUAAAAUAAAAACACUUUUAAAUGAAUUUAUAUAAAUGAAUUUUAAAAUGAAUUUUUCUUAAGAAAUGAGUUUUCUUAAACAAAAUAUUUUCUUAAAGAAUUUUCUAAAAGAAUUAAAUGAUCAAAGAAAGGUUCUUAAAUGUUUUAGAAAACUUUAAAAGCUAUUUAUGAAAGGAUUUAAGGUGGAUUCAAAAUGUUUUGGCUUAUAGUCCGUAGUAAUGUAUACAAUGGAAAUGUUAUGAUGUUAUGUAAUAUUAUGGUCAGCUUGCUGGUACGAUGAUGGUCUUGUGCACAAGGAUGUUAUGAACAAUGUGGGACAUAGUACCCUAAAUGAGGAACAAUGCGGGGUAUAACACCCUAAAUGAUGAAUGAUGAUGAUUAUGAGGCAUGAGCUACCAAUGUUUACGCUUUAAUGUUUUCAUAAAUGUUUUAAUGUUUUUAUAUGAAUCCACCCCUUAUGUUAAAUGAAGAUGUUGUUAUAAAAUGUUUAAAGGUAUAUGACAAAGGUUUUCAAAUAUUGUGCAUGGAUUUGAUUACCGAGUUGACGGCUCACCCCUCGUCUCCAAUAUUUUACAGAUUGAUUAGAGAUAUGGCUUGGGUUCUUAGACGGAGAAUUUUUCUUAGUGGAUCUUUAGAGUUGUUUUAAAGAUUAAAUUUGGCUAGACUUCCUAUUUUGCAUUAGAGACUUUUCUUUGGAGACCUUAUUUCAUAUGUUUUAUGUAAGGAUUCAGUUGGAGUAUGAAUAAUGAUUGUUUAUCUUGAGAUUUAUUAAUAAGAAUAAAUGAUGUGAGGUUUCAUUCCAAUUUUACCCUUGUGUUUUCAUGAGUAAUUUUUGGGGUGUUACAGUUAGGCUACUCGGACACCGACAACGCAAUGUGCUACUGGGCUAUGAUGAGAUGAAGACGAGUUGCGUGCUUACUACUGCAUGAAUAAUUUGGAAAUUAUGAGCAAGACUGUGAGAAAGUGAUUUAGAGUUUGAUUUGUGAGUUAUGAGCUUGUGGGAUUGUGUGCUUUUGGUUGUAAUUAAGUCUAAAUUAUAUUAAACAUUUUAUAUUAACUAAUAUUUGUAUUAUUUGUAUAAAUAUUUUGAUAUUUGUUAUUUACACCAAUAUUUUAUAUUUUACAAUUUAAAAUUUAUUAUUUAUUGACUAAUAAUUCUAAAAAAAUAAAAAUAAAAUAAAAUAUUAAAAUAGGGAAAUGGGGAGGGGACGGGGAUUCCACCUCAUCCCCAUCCCUUCCCUGAAUAAGUAAUUGGGUAAAAAAUCGUCUUCGUCCCUUCCCCGAAUAAGAAGUUUGGCAUAAAAUCGUCCAUGUACCCUCCCCAAAUAGGAAAAAUCUCCAAGGGCCCCCAUCCCCAUGGGGAUUCCUGCCAUUUCUAAAUUAGAAUAAAUUAUUUACUUGAACUGUAGGAAUCAGAAUAAAAAUAAGCUGGAUUGUCAUUGAUGUGUCUAUUUUGUCUUGGAAUUGAAAUCAAAAUGAGUUACAUUUUAACAACUUACUAAAAAGUGCUUAAUGAGCUAUUGUCAUAAUUAUUAUUUUAUAUUUUAAUUAUGGUAAUUAUUUAUUCAAAAAUUAUAAUAAUUAUUAUUGUUAAUAAUAUAUUCAUAUAUUAAUUAAUUGAAAAUUAUUUAAAUUAAUUAAUUAUUAAUAUAUUAAUUGAUUAAUUAUAAUAAUACAUUAAUUAAUUAUAACUGAGGACAAAAUAAAUAUUUUUUAUUUUGUGAGGGGGCAAAAUGGUCAUUCCAAGGAAUGGGAGACUAAUUCCCGCCUCCCUUGGGAAUUAAUCUUCCAUUUGCCAUAAAAAAAAAAAAGCUUUCUAACAAGAUAUCAAAAUGGUUAAUAAGAAGAGCAGUAGUAAUGGGGUAAAAGCUCGUUUAGUCCCUAUAUUUUGAGGUUAGUACUUGUUUAGUCCCUAUAUUUUUAAAAAUGCUUCAAAACAUCUUUGUCGUUAAAUUAUUGACACCCCUGUCUUUACUUUGUAUUCCUUUUAGCUUACUUUUACAAUAUUACCAUUUUUGCAAUAUUGUUUAAUUUUUUGGACAUUAAUAAUAAAUAAAAUUACCAAUUUAACCCCAAAAAUAAAAUAAAGACAAAGAAAAUAUAUAUUAAUCUUUGUCGAAACUAUGUCAAAAAAAUAAAUAUUGUAAAAAAAAUUUAACUACUAAUUUUUUAGACAUUAAUAAAAAAAUUAAUAUAUUAAUUCCUCGUGGAGUAUUCAAAAAAAUUAAUAUAGAUUUUUUUUUUGUUUCUAUUUUACUUUUUUGGGUUAAAUUGAUAAUUUGAUUUUUCUUGUUAUUAAUGUGCAAUAAAGAAUAAAUAUUAUUGUACGGGGGUAAUAUUGUAAAAGUAAGUUAAAAAGAACAAAAAAUAACGGUAAGGGUGUCAAUAUUUAACGAUAAGGAUGUUUUAAGGCAUUUUUAAAAAUAUAGAGACUAAAUAGGUAUUAAUCUCAAAAUAUAAGGAUUAAACGAGAUUUUACCCUUAAUAAUGUUACGAGGGGGUUCAAAUGGAGGGGGAUGGGUAUUUCCAAAUUUGUAUCCAUUAAUUUUUUUAAAACUCAUAUCUGUCACUUGUUAUUAUUUUAAGGGAAAUUAUCAGUCAUAUACCUUAAGUUGACAAAACACUUCUACCGUCCACCAUUCCUUUAACUUCCAUUUGCAAGCGUUGACUUCAUAAGGGUAAUUUAGUCUUUUAAGACUGACGAAACUUUGAUAAAAAAAACGGCAUGUCAUCCCAUUUACCGAAUAAAAAAUGACAUGUCAUAUGAUAUAUAUUGAUAAAAAUAACAUGUCAUUCCACUUAUCGGUUAAUUGUUAAUAAUUGCUAAAAAAAACUAUUUUACAACUGAAUCUACUCCUCCAAAAUUUAACUUAAAUUUUUGAAGAUCUACUCCUCCAAGCUCCAACUUGAAAUUUUUAUGGUAUAAUAUGUAUAAUUGUAAAUAAUAUGUUGUUAAUAAUUUUUUAUGGUAUAAUAUGGAUAUUUUUUAUGGAUAAUUGUUAAUACUAUGUACCAUUAAUAAUUCAUUUUUUAAUCAAAAAAUGUAUUGGUAAUAACAAAAUAAAAAAAAUUAUGUAUUGAAAAUUUACGUUAAUUUUUGGGAUAAAUUUAUUUUUUUUACCUCAUUUUGAGUUUUAAGGGCAAAAUAGUCAAUUUACCACAAUUCUGUUAACUUUCUAACAGAAGUUAAUAGAAUGGUGGACGGCAGAAGUAUUUUGUCAACUUAGGGUAUACGAGUAAUACACUUGAAAAGUAUUCACACACGUUUGAUACGGGUAUCAUUUAAGGGUAUAUAGCUGAUAAUUUCCCUUAUUUUAAAUAUCAAACUUGUCAACCCUUAGGGGAAACAAGUAUUUAACGGACUUUGUGCGGCUAAUUCUCAUCAUUCGCUACUCUAAAUUUUAUUUUACAGAUUUGUGCAUCAUUUAUAACAUUUAAUUAAAUACACUUAAAUUAUAUAGAUUCAACGGUUCAACCUUCAUAUAUCACAUGAAAAGAAUACUGAAUUUUUAACAUCUCUCAUCAAGAGAUUGUACUGUGCUUACUCAAUUAGAUACUAAGGUGGCGUUUUUUUUUUAACUUAAUGACUUAAAGUGACUUAACUUAAUUAAUUAAGUUAAUUAGAGGUGUUUGUUUUUAUAACUCAAUGAGACUUUGUAGAUAAUUUUGACUUAAUAAAAUAAGCUAAUUUUUUUUUGCUUUUUACUUAAUGGAGAAAUUUGAAUUAAGUCAAUUACUUACUAAUGUAAAAAAUAUUCAUGUUUUAUAAUUUAUUUUUCAUGUCUAUCCCAAAACUCACCUAUAGACAUUUACUCCACAUAAAAAUAUCCAUGUUUUUUCUUUCUUAUAUUAUAUACGAUAAAAUUUAAAAUUUAUGGUAUUUUAUAUAUUAAAAUUCUAAAAUAAUUAUGUAUUCACUUGAAUAUAGUUUUACUUAUAAAUGUUAAAAUAUUGUGGUAUUUAAUAUAUUAUUUAUUUGACAUUCAAAUUUGAUAUGGAUACAAAUGUAAAAGUACAUAUUUUCAGUUUUUUCAGUUGAAAAAAACAAACAACUUAAUACUUAUUUUCCGAGAUUCAGAUGAAAAAAUAAACAUAUUAUUUAGAUUCAGACAUUCAAAUCUAUUCAGAAUUCAGACUAAUUCAGGUCUAUUCAGAUUUCAGAUAAAAAAACAAACGACACCUAAGUUUAUACUCCAACUAAUGUGUUAAUAGUAUUUGAAUAAAAAAUGAUAAAACUUAAUAAUUAAUUAUUGCUUAAGUCAAUUAAAUAGUAUCAUAUCAUUUGUUAAAAAAAAAAAAAAUCUUUGUUGUUUCAAGAUUAUUAAUCCUUUUUCAUUUACUUAUUAUCAUUACUAUCUGCAACAAUCAUAAUGAUUUGCAUCAACAUGUGAUUGUUUUUUUGACUCCAAGAACAGCUUGUAAAUGUAAUUUCUCUUCUUCCCCACUCACCCUUGAAAACCCACUAUUUGUGUACUUCCAAAACGAUUUAUUGCUGACCGCCAAAGACCGAUACUCACUGGACAAAUUCCUAAAAGAAAGAUUCAAAUUCCAAUGUCUUAUACCUAUUUGAUUUGCAGUUCUUGUUAUGCUAAUGACUAGAAUGAGGCAAAGUGUUUUUUAAUUGAGAUGAUGGAUCUAAGGGUGCAGCAUGAUGUUGUGAUUUUCCAUGUUGGUCAUAUAUGAGCUUUGUGAAAAUAGAAAGAUAGAAGAAGCAUGUAGGUUUUUAGAAUCGCAUCAAUGGAUGGGUUUUGCUUGACCGAGGGAACUAUUUGUUUCUGUGGAGAAUAAAGGGUGCAGAAAUGAUGUUGCUAAAUACAACAAGUUGAUAAAUGGGUAAUGCAAGAAUAAGGAAGUAGAGGAAGCGUUAGGCCUUUGUAGCGAAAAGCUUUCUAAAAGAAUUCUCCUAGAAUAUGUUGGGGGGAUGGAGCAGCUGCCCCCAUCGCACCCUAAGCCAACAGACUCAAAAUUGGAUGGGAACUUUUUUCAUAGAUUAUUUCACGAACGCCCGAUUCCAAAUAUGUAACAUAUAACAUCAUGAUUCAUGGGCUUUGUAAAAAUGGGCAAAUGGAUACGGAAGCAAGGCGUACGACGCCCAGUUGUGUCAUGUUUACUAAGCUUAUGCGAAAGAAUGAGACAUCAAAAGUUAUUGAACUUCCUCACUCAAUGGAUAAGAGAAAUGUAAUGCGGGAUGCAUCUAUACUUGCAACUGUUGUGGACUUUCUUUUAAAGAAUGAUAUCCGUUUAAACUCGAUUCCAGAAUUCAAAAGCCAAAAUUGAAUAUUGAUUUAGUAGCAUGUUUUUCUGCCUGCUGAAAAUCGGAUAUGGAGGAUCCGUUUCAUUAUACCAAAUGUGAAGGAGUGUCACGUUGUGAGGGCAAGGUAAAAUCCUCGCCAUCUGGUUCGGUUCACCAAAGAAACUUCCCCAUUAAUUUCUUGAAAAAGUUAAGUUAAAACUGUAAAUGAAAGAAUCAUGAUGAUCUGUUUUGGUUUGUGAGAUGUUAGAAAGAGGUCAUUGUUUAUUAAGUGGAAAUAAAAAUGAGGGAAUGAGAUUCAUUAAUUUGUUUACUUAUAAAUAGAGGAGGAGAAUUGAGAAUUAAAUUUGUUGGCCUCACAUCAAUUUAUGAAUAACUCUUGGAUUUCUAAUUUCUAAGGGAGAUUUGGAAUCUACAUCUCAUUUACAAUCUACCCAAUUGUAAUAAUUUUCAUUUUGUCAUUCUUUUAAAUAUUUAAAAAAUAAAUAAAAAUCGCAUGAGUACUGUGCAAAGAUGGAUUGUUCUUGUUAUUGUUGAUGUUAUUAUUACUAGCACCGAAUUACAUAUUAUUAAAUUAGUUUAAAUAUUACAAAUUAAAUUAUUUUUAAAUGAGUGAUAAAACCUGAUCAUUUAAUAACCAUGGCCAUUUAACAGAUUUAAACAUAAAAUUUCGUGUCAAAUUAUGUUUGAGUAUAAGGAUAAUGUAAGAUAAUUGGUACUUUAAUUUACAUUUAUGUGCNNNNNNNNNNNNNNNNNNNNNNNNNNNNNNNNNNNNNNNNNNNNNNNNNNNNNNNNNNNNNNNNNNNNNNNNNNNNNNNNNNNNNNNNNNNNNNNNNNNNNNNNNNNNNNNNNNNNNNNNNNNNNNNNNNNNNNNNNNNNNNNNNNNNNNNNNNNNNNNNNNNNNNNNNNNNNNNNNNNNNNNNNNNNNNNNNNNNNNNNNNNNNNNNNNNNNNNNNNNNNNNNNNNNNNNNNNNNNNNNNNNNNNNNNNNNNNNNNNNNNNNNNNNNNNNNNNNNNNNNNNNNNNNNNNNNNNNNNNNNNNNNNNNNNNNNNNNNNNNNNNNNNNNNNNNNNNNNNNNNNNNNNNNNNNNNNNNNNNNNNNNNNNNNNNNNNNNNNNNNNNNNNNNNNNNNNNNNNNNNNNNNNNNNNNNNNNNNNNNNNNNNNNNNNNNNNNNNNNNNNNNNNNNNNNNNNNNNNNNNNNNNNNNNNNNNNNNNNNNNNNNNNNNNNNNNNNNNNNNNNNNNNNNNNNNNNNNNNNNNNNNNNNNNNNNNNNNNNNNNNNNNNNNNNNNNNNNNNNNNNNNNNNNNNNNNNNNNNNNNNNNNNNNNNNNNNNNNNNNNNNNNNNNNNNNNNNNNNNNNNNNNNNNNNNNNNNNNNNNNNNNNNNNNNNNNNNNNNNNNNNNNNNNNNNNNNNNNNNNNNNNNNNNNNNNNNNNNNNNNNNNNNNNNNNNNNNNNNNNNNNNNNNNNNNNNNNNNNNNNNNNNNNNNNNNNNNNNNNNNNNNNNNNNNNNNNNNNNNNNNNNNNNNNNNNNNNNNNNNNNNNNNNNNNNNNNNNNNNNNNNNNNNNNNNNNNNNNNNNNNNNNNNNNNNNNNNNNNNNNNNNNNNNNNNNNNNNNNNNNNNNNNNNNNNNNNNNNNNNNNNNNNNNNNNNNNNNNNNNNNNNNNNNNNNNNNNNNNNNNNNNNNNNNNNNNNNNNNNNNNNNNNNNNNNNNNNNNNNNNNNNNNNNNNNNNNNNNNNNNNNNNNNNNNNNNNNNNNNNNNNNNNNNNNNNNNNNNNNNNNNNNNNNNNNNNNNNNNNNNNNNNNNNNNNNNNNNNNNNNNNNNNNNNNNNNNNNNNNNNNNNNNNNNNNNNNNNNNNNNNNNNNNNNNNNNNNNNNNNNNNNNNNNNNNNNNNNNNNNNNNNNNNNNNNNNNNNNNNNNNNNNNNNNNNNNNNNNNNNNNNNNNNNNNNNNNNNNNNNNNNNNNNNNNNNNNNNNNNNNNNNNNNNNNNNNNNNNNNNNNNNNNNNNNNNNNNNNNNNNNNNNNNNNNNNNNNNNNNNNNNNNNNNNNNNNNNNNNNNNNNNNNNNNNNNNNNNNNNNNNNNNNNNNNNNNNNNNNNNNNNNNNNNNNNNNNNNNNNNNNNNNNNNNNNNNNNNNNNNNNNNNNNNNNNNNNNNNNNNNNNNNNNNNNNNNNNNNNNNNNNNNNNNNNNNNNNNNNNNNNNNNNNNNNNNNNNNNNNNNNNNNNNNNNNNNNNNNNNNNNNNNNNNNNNNNNNNNNNNNNNNNNNNNNNNNNNNNNNNNNNNNNNNNNNNNNNNNNNNNNNNNNNNNNNNNNNNNNNNNNNNNNNNNNNNNNNNNNNNNNNNNNNNNNNNNNNNNNNNNNNNNNNNNNNNNNNNNNNNNNNNNNNNNNNNNNNNNNNNNNNNNNNNNNNNNNNNNNNNNNNNNNNNNNNNNNNNNNNNNNNNNNNNNNNNNNNNNNNNNNNNNNNNNNNNNNNNNNNNNNNNNNNNNNNNNNNNNNNNNNNNNNNNNNNNNNNNNNNNNNNNNNNNNNNNNNNNNNNNNNNNNNNNNNNNNNNNNNNNNNNNNNNNNNNNNNNNNNNNNNNNNNNNNNNNNNNNNNNNNNNNNNNNNNNNNNNNNNNNNNNNNNNNNNNNNNNNNNNNNNNNNNNNNNNNNNNNNNNNNNNNNNNNNNNNNNNNNNNNNNNNNNNNNNNNNNNNNNNNNNNNNNNNNNNNNNNNNNNNNNNNNNNNNNNNNNNNNNNNNNNNNNNNNNNNNNNNNNNNNNNNNNNNNNNNNNNNNNNNNNNNNNNNNNNNNNNNNNNNNNNNNNNNNNNNNNNNNNNNNNNNNNNNNNNNNNNNNNNNNNNNNNNNNNNNNNNNNNNNNNNNNNNNNNNNNNNNNNNNNNNNNNNNNNNNNNNNNNNNNNNNNNNNNNNNNNNNNNNNNNNNNNNNNNNNNNNNNNNNNNNNNNNNNNNNNNNNNNNNNNNNNNNNNNNNNNNNNNNNNNNNNNNNNNNNNNNNNNNNNNNNNNNNNNNNNNNNNNNNNNNNNNNNNNNNNNNNNNNNNNNNNNNNNNNNNNNNNNNNNNNNNNNNNNNNNNNNNNNNNNNNNNNNNNNNNNNNNNNNNNNNNNNNNNNNNNNNNNNNNNNNNNNNNNNNNNNNNNNNNNNNNNNNNNNNNNNNNNNNNNNNNNNNNNNNNNNNNNNNNNNNNNNNNNNNNNNNNNNNNNNNNNNNNNNNNNNNNNNNNNNNNNNNNNNNNNNNNNNNNNNNNNNNNNNNNNNNNNNNNNNNNNNNNNNNNNNNNNNNNNNNNNNNNNNNNNNNNNNNNNCUUCCUUCAAUAUUUUGUUUGGUUGUCUUGCUAAGACUAAACAUUAUGAUACUGUCCUUUCACUAUUCAAGAGACUCAAUUCCACUGGGUUGUUUCCGGAUCGUUAUACUUACAAUAUCUUGAUUAACUGCUUUUGCAAAAUGGGUCGAGUUUCUCAUGGUUUUGUUGUUCUUGGGAGAAUCCUCAGGUCUUGUUUUACUCCAGAUGCUGUGACCUUUAAUUCUUUGAUUAAAGGUUUGUGUGUGGAGAGUAGAAUCAUGGAGGCCGCUGCAUUGUUUACAAAACUUAGAGUGUUUGGUUGUGAGCCUGAUGUCAUUACGUACAAUACUUUGAUUAAUGGAUUGUGUCGAACCGGCCAUACAAUUGUUGCUCUAAAUUUAUUUGAAGAGACGGCCAAUGGAAAUAGGAAAUUUGGUGUUGUUUGUAAGCCAGACGCUAUUACAUACAAUACUAUUAUAGAUGGUCUUUGUAAGGAAGGUUUUGUGGACAAGGCCAAGGAACUGUUUCUGCAGAUGAAGGAUAAGAAUAUUAACCCAGAUGUGGUUACUUAUAACUCUUUGAUUCACGGUUUUUGUUACGCUAAUGAUUGGAACGAGGCGAAUUGUUUGCUUAUUGAGAUGAUGGAUCAAGGGGUACAGCCUGAUGUUGUGACUUUCAAUGUGAUCAUGGAUGAGCUCUGCAAGAAUGGGAAGAUGGAGUUGAGCGUGCUUUCAAGCUGUUUGAUGAGAUGCAACGUGAUGGCGUGGCAGCUGAUACCUGGACAUAUAGAACCUUUAUUGAUGGGCUCUGCAAGAAUAGUUAUAUCGUAGAGGCAGUUGAACUAUUUCGCACUUUGAGAAUUCUCAAGUGUGAACUUGAUAUUCGAGCCUACAACUGCCUCAUUGAUGGAUUAUGUAAAUCCGGCAGACUCGAAAUUGCAUGGGAACUAUUUUGUAGUUUGCCUCGUGGAGUCCUAAUAGCAGAUGUUGUAACCUAUAACAUCAUGAUCCAUGGGCUUUGUAACGAUGGGAAAAUGGACAAGGCGCAUGAUUUGUUUCUUGAUAUGGAAGCAAAAGGUGUAGCACCCAAUUGUGUCACAUUUAACACGCUGAUGCUAAGUUGCAUCCGCAAUAAUGAGACAUCAAAAGUUGUUGAACUCCUUCACAGAAUGGAUGAGAGAAAUGUAAUACCAGAUGCAUCUACACUUUCAAUUGUUGUGGACUUACUUGUAAAGAAUGAAAUUAGCUUAAACUCGAUUCCACAAUUCAAGAGUCAAAGUUAAAGUGAGUUUAUAUUGAUUUAGUCGCAUGUUUCUUCUGCCUGAAAACCCGAUCUGGAGGAUCCCAUUCUUAUUACAACAUGUAAAGGAGCGUUGUCUAAUGUUGGCAUGUUCCUAGGUUCUGUCCAUGGAUUCUGUUUGCAGACAUGGCUAACUUCUUGUCCAACAGAUAAGUUUUAAAGUCUUUCAACUUUAUGUUGUAAAAUAACAUUUUUAUUAUUCAAUUCAUGAGUUUUCCUUCUGUAACACAUCCUUCUCAUUAGCUGGAAGUGCAAAUUUUUUAGGCUUUUCCUGUAUGGCCUCUUUUUCUUCUCUAAAUAAAAUGGCAUUUUGUUUCCCUCCUGUGAGGGUACAACGUUUAUGUUCAAACUUUCUGUUAGUUAAGUUGGUUGUCUUUGAUAUAGGGAACUUCCAGUUGAACUGAUUUGUAAUUCGAGUAUAUGAGAUUACCAACUGUAUUGGGAAUUGAUGCCAAAUUAAUUAUGUCAUCAGGUUUUUCAAUCAGCGUUCAUCAUUUAUUUCUAUUAACAAUUAAUAGCACAGCUUGUCUUCUCAGCUUCAUUGAUUCCUCUAAAAAAUAAUCUUGUAAAGACAAUUUUUUUUUUUUUUUUUGGCAUGGUAAAUGCUAGAUAGUUUGUGGUCUGAAUGAUACUACACAUCUAAGUAAUUGCCCAAAUUGCCAUGUAACAAGGAGUGUUGCAUAGUGAUGUCAUGCUCACAGGUACCACUCAUCAACAUGGCCAACGCUUUCGAUGCAGUCAUUAUUAUGGAAAUUCAAGAGUUCUCCUCCUAAGAGGUCUCUCUCUCGUUCUCUUAAUUUCCUUAUUCUGUUUUGGAAGUAAUGUAAUGGGAAAAUAGCAUUUAAUUUCCUUGUGUCUGACAUUUUCUUCUAUAAAUGCUAUAAAAUAUCUUUUUUUUUCAUCAUUGAUAUGUAUUACACAAUCAGAAGACUACUCGUAUUUAUAUGAAACAUCUACUUUAUGGCACAGUUCAGAUUUUUAUCCUUAUAAAUAUUGGAGGGAUAUCUUUAUGUUUCUUCUGUGAUAACGUUUCUGCGUGCUGCAACCUUUUUAUUAGAUUGAUAGAAUGUGAAUACACGGAAAUUCUGUUUGAUAAUCUCGGCAAACCAGGAUUAAUAUGAAAUGGAGCGUCAUCAACAAAUACUUAGCAUAUUGCUGACUAUGAUUUGUUCUCCUCCCCUCAUUCUUUUUGUGAGUAGAAUUGGAUUGUGAAACUUGUUAUGUCAGCACAAGUGUUCUUACAAGUUGAUGUAAAAUACACUGACUUGAAAUAAUGGCAUGGUAAUUGGUAUAGAUAAGCUAGCAUGAGUAUAUUUUGUCACCAAUUUCGCCAACCGCGUCUGGGUGUGGAAAUUAUAUUGCAUUUCUAAUGUCAUUUGAAAGAAAAACUUGCAAAAUUUGUAAUUUGUUAAAUCUGAACCGUGGUUCACAUCUACUCUUCCCGAACUUGAGUCAUAUGAUUCAAUUUUUUAGUGGGCAUGGCGAGAUAGAUUUCUACCAAGCCCAACCCAUUUAUCUACCCUUUUGUAAUUUUCUAUCAUGCAUAUAUUUAUAUUUUUGUAUAGUUAAUAUCUAAUUAUUUAUGUAUUUUUAUCGAAUAACUACUAAUUAUAUUUUUCUAAAAAAUCGGCAUGAAAAGUUCAACUUAAUAUUGAAUUAAAUUUUGAUAAGUAUAUGUCAAAUGUUUGGAAUUCUUUUUCUAGUCUUCAUGAUUGAUUAAUUGGAAAAUAAAUGUGUAUGUAUUAAAAUGGUAUUGGAUAAACAUGCCCCUAUCACCCAAGUUUUCCUUUGGAUAAUUUCCUAACUUGCAAGUUGAUAUCGAUGUUUAAAAAGAACCAAAAAAAAAAAAAAAUACAUUGAAAUCUUUAUAAAUUAUUUCUUGACCUAAUAGUUGACACUUUCUCGCCUUAUUCUUGAGGUUGAAGGUUUGAAUUUUCUUAUGUGGAUUUUAGGUGAACUACAGAAAAACAGCUUAUAUGAGACAUUUUCAAAAUAAGUAUGAAUGUGGUACUUAUUCAUCAGAUGGACAUAUUAAUGACGUGAUAAAUUUAUAAUCCGCAAAAUUGUGGAUCAGAUAUAAAUUAAUGUCCAAUCCCUAAAAUCCGAUCCUCGAACACCUCUAUUACUUAGAGGCUCCCUUCUUCCAAAUUCAUAAUCUUCAACAUUUCUCCAACCAAUCAAGCAAGGCUAGAGAUAGGUAACAUACAUUUUGAUGUACAUUUGGCUUUUGUAUCAUUUACUUCACUAGUGAUCCAUUAAAUGGAUCCACCAUUAACGUAAAUGCUAGUUUAACUAUUGACAGUGGAGCAAGUAUGUAUGUGGUCCCUACGCACAAGCAUACACGCCCAUUAAAGCAUUACUCUCCUCAUCAUUGGAUAUGAAUUUUGUGAACUAUAUAUCUUUUUGGGGGUUUCAUUUAUCUUUCCGGUCUCUUAUGAUCAUUCACGGCUCCUGCUGCUGCUUCUUAUUGGCUCUUUGACAUCCUCUGUCUUGUUCUUGCUGUGUGUGUCAGCCACUAGCAACUGCUUCAAGCAAUGUGAGUUUGUUGCGUGAGCUUCCGUUUUGGUUAUUUUCAAUUAUUAUUUUUGUUGAUGGGUUUGUGAUUUUGUGCUGUAUUAUUACAGGAUUACACUGUUUAUAUGGAAGAGAGAAGAUAUGAUGAGCCUCAGCUGGUUCAGGAUUCGCACCAUCAGAUUCUUUCGGAUAUUCUUGGAAGGUUUAUAUUUCAAUCUCUUUAGCCGAAUUUACCUAUUAUAUUUUUAUCAUAUAAACGUUAUGCAAAAUGUUUAUGUUAAUGUAUGGCGAAAAUUGAAAAAUGGAAAAUAAAAAUAUUUGUGCUGCUUUCACUAUUUAUCUAUGUUAAUCUCUUUGAUAAAAUGAAGUGGAUGUCAUUAUUUCCAUGCAUCAGUAAUUACAAUCCAUAUUAUGCUCUUGCUAGUCUGUGCUCCAUUUGAACAUCGCAACGAACUUAUUUACUUACAUAUAUUUUGUGCUUUCUGGUUGGAAAUUGGAAGUUUUAACCAAUUUCUGAUCAGAAACAGCCCUUUUGAGUGCUAUGGCAGAAACCGCAGACGCGGCCUAACCUUCAUUUUUAAUUUGUAUCAAUUGGUAGUUUUUUAUCAUAUAAACGUUAUGCAAAACGUUUAUGUUAAUGUAUGGUGAAAAUUGAAAAAUGGAAAAUAAAAAUAUUUGUACUGCUUUCACUAUUUAUCUAUGUUAAUCUCUUUGAUAAAAUGAAGUGGAUGUCAUUAUUUCCAUGCAUCAGUAAUUACAAUCCAUAUUGUGCUCUUGCUAGUCUGUGCUCCAUUUGAACAUCGCAACGAACUUAUUUACUUACAUAUUUUUUGUGCUUUCUGGUUGGAAAUUGGAAGUUUUAACCAAUUUCUGAUCAGAAACAGCCCUUUUGAGUGCUAUGGCAGAAACCGCAGACGUGACCUAACCUUCAUUUUUAAUUUGUAUCAAUUGGUAGUUUUUUAUAACUCUCUCUUUUCCCCUCUAUCAAUAAUGAAUGGUAUUCGCUAGAGAAACCGUAAGGGGACUAAUCAUUGUGAAAAGCACUAGGUGAUAACUAGCAGUUUCAAUUUGACAGCAAAGAAGCUGCUAAGGAAUCANNNNNNNNNNNNNNNNNNNNNNNNNNNNNNNNNNNNNNNNNNNNNNNNNNNNNNNNNNNNNNNNNNNNNNNNNNNNNNNNNNNNNNNNNNNNNNNNNNNNNNNNNNNNNNNNNNNNNNNNNNNNNNNNNNNNNNNNNNNNNNNNNNNNNNNNNNNNNNNNNNNNNNNNNNNNNNNNNNNNNNNNNNNNNNNNNNNNNNNNNNNNNNNNNNNNNNNNNNNNNNNNNNNNNNNNNNNNNNNNNNNNNNNNNNNNNNNNNNNNNNNNNNNNNNNNNNNNNNNNNNNNNNNNNNNNNNNNNNNNNNNNNNNNNNNNNNNNNNNNNNNNNNNNNNNNNNNNNNNNNNNNNNNNNNNNNNNNNNNNNNNNNNNNNNNNNNNNNNNNNNNNNNNNNNNNNNNNNNNNNNNNNNNNNNNNNNNNNNNNNNNNNNNNNNNNNNNNNNNNNNNNNNNNNNNNNNNNNNNNNNNNNNNNNNNNNNNNNNNNNNNNNNNNNNNNNNNNNNNNNNNNNNNNNNNNNNNNNNNNNNNNNNNNNNNNNNNNNNNNNNNNNNNNNNNNNNNNNNNNNNNNNNNNNNNNNNNNNNNNNNNNNNNNNNNNNNNNNNNNNNNNNNNNNNNNNNNNNNNNNNNNNNNNNNNNNNNNNNNNNNNNNNNNNNNNNNNNNNNNNNNNNNNNNNNNNNNNNNNNNNNNNNNNNNNNNNNNNNNNNNNNNNNNNNNNNNNNNNNNNNNNNNNNNNNNNNNNNNNNNNNNNNNNNNNNNNNNNNNNNNNNGGGGGGGGGGGGGAGCGCAUUAUCCAAACACCUAUUUCGAGCAUGAAAAUUAACCCCAAUGACAAAAUUAAAUCCACCCGUUAACCUCAGUGUUAUAUUAGUAUCACAACAAAAAUAGAACAUACAAUCAACUAAGAAAGCUCAUAAAAGACAUAUAAAGAACUCAACAUGCUAUGAAGCAUGAUCUAAGAAAAUGAAACCAACCAAAUGGAGUUCGACAAACUUACAUACAUCUAAGAAAUUUAACUGAUAAAUAAAAAAGAAAACUAAAGCAUCAUGGUUGUUGUAAUAUGACCUAACCAAAUAACUUAUAUAAAACAGUAGUCCUAAUACUUCAUACAACAACCAAAACUAAGGCCAGCUUUUCUCCAUUAAUUUAUCUUGCAGAAACAGAAGUUAUCCCUAGCUGUCUAGCAUUACCUGAUACCAGCCCCAGUUCUUAUUUACCGACUUUAUACAAUAGGCUUUCCAUUAGUGAGCAAGAAAUGGUCCAUGUUAAAAGCUCAAUUGUUCAUACAAGUAAACAAUAAAGAACGAAUGAUAUGGGCCCCAAAACUUCAUAAUGAACAUAUUAGUAUAUAACAGACUCAUUUAAUUCUCUGAAUAUGUAAUCACCCAAAACCACUUCAUUUCUUGAAUUUUCUCAAAUAACACAAACAGGUCAAGUUCACAGUCAUCAAGAACAAUGAUGGAACCUGCCAACACCUCCCACCCACACAUAUUUUUAAAUUACGUGCGCAUUCCGCUCAAAAUUUGAGAAAACAUAAAAGUAAAAGAUGCAACAUUGUGACAUUUAUCAGACCAUGCAUCCACUACUUAAUUUCCAGUUUGAGUUUCUAUGUUUAAUAUUAAGAUGCAUUAUGCAACCACUGAAAGAUCAAUCAUAAAAACAAUGUUCAACGGUCAGGUUAACAACAAAUACUGUAGAUUGUCUCAUUAUUCAACAAUGAUUUAAUAAUUAUUAAUCAAUUGGGACCCAAAAAUACUAACAGCUGCACUAAUUUCAGCUUAGAACACGAGAUUGAAACUUUCCACAAUCAAGCAAUCAAACAACACACGGGAUUCAAAAAAGUAAAAGCCUCAAUCACUGUAUUUCCUACAAUUUCUUGCUAUCUAAAGAGAUUUUAUAAUAGCACUCACCUAUCAUCAAGUUUCUUAAGCUCGUCUUCGAUCUUCGUACGCAUCGAAUCAAGAACGCUUUGAUCCAUCUCCAGCACAGACUCAGCCACUAGGGUUUCAUAAAACGAGGCCAUGUCUACAGAAAAAAAGAGCAACAAUUAAAAUUGAAAAAAAAAAAUAGAGCAUUACUCGGAAGAAAUAAGUAUGCGAAUCCGGCGAGUUAGGUACCGUGGGCUUUGACCAUUGAGAAGACCUCCCCUUUGAGACCAACCUUCUCGAUGUCUUGAACGUCUGGGUGCGUAAGAAGGAAACGCUUGUGAGCGAGUACGAGAUGCGCCUGCUGAGUUCCUUCGCUGUCCAUGGCUAAUUCGGCUGCUGAUGACUCACUGAGAUACGUUCCGAGUUGGUUCUUUGCUUGAGAAAGGAGCUAGCGCAGUAUACAGAGUCGCCGUGACGAUUUACAAAUAAUUUAUGCCCGGUAUUUUCUUUUAUAUGAAUGUUAAUAUAUGCACCCUCUUCUUUUCAAAAAGAAAAAAAAUAUAUGCACCCCAUUAGUCUGAUAAAUCCCCCUUGCAGACCCUUACAUGGGCCCUCGUUGGGCUCGUGAACAAUUAUGGGCUCGUAGACGAGGUUCUAAAAUCAUCUGUCCAUUUUUUUUUUAAAUUUUAGAAACAGAAAAACAGUUCAAUAAUUUAUGUAGAAAAUUUAAAGAAAUAAUCAACAUUUGAGGUUUAUAUAUAAAUUUAACCAACUUUUCUAUCAUCCUUACUUUUUUUUAUAACCAAAGACAUUUAUUGUUCGAGAUUAAGGGAGAUAAUAAGUUGGUUAAAAUUUACAAGCCGCCCCCAAGAUUUAGCUACUGACGGAGAGUAAUAUUAUAGUAAGAGAGUAUUUUACUUCACUUCACUGGAGUAAAAGAGGUAAAGACACUUAUUUUAAUAUAUUAUAAAAAUACUUAUUUUUAUAUUUUAAUUUAUUUUAAAAAUUAUUUAGGUCGUGUUUUGAAUUGAAUUGUUAUAUUUUUUUAAUUUAUCCAUAAAAAUUGUAAUUAUAAAACAAAAGUUAAUAAUAUUUAAUAAAUAUAAUUUUUAAAUCAUAAUUUUAAUAAAAUUAUAGAUUUUUUGUCAAACAAAUAAAAAAUCACAUCAACAUAACUUUUAAGAUAUAAUAAUUAAUAUUUAUCAAAUACUUUAAUUUUGUAACUUUUAAAUUAUAAUUAGUCAAUUCCAAUCUCAAACAAGACCUAAAAUAAGUGAUUCAGAUAUUAUAAAAUUACUAUUUGAUGAAAAUUCCCCAUAUUAUAUAAAAUGACCAAAUAUAUAUUUGAAGAAUGAUCAAAUAUUCUUUAAUACGUAAAAUCCACGUGUUAUUUGAGAUGAAAGCCUUCUGGGCUUCCAAUUCUAUAUUUCUAUGGUGAGUUAUUGUUAGUGAGUAUAAUCUAUUAAAUUUAAUGAAUAAAUAAUAAAUCACAUCGAAUUCUGAGCCGUCAGAGGAAAUAUGCCGGAGACACUCUCGUGAGUCGUGUUUCCUGCUCUCAGUCGUGGGUGUUGAAAAUUUUCCUUCAAACUACUUUCUUCCGAGAAAAUAAUUAUAAUUUUUUUUAAAGUAAUGGGGAAACGAAAGCGCGGUGAUGCUAACAAUCCGAUAGAUAUUGUCUCUUCAACUCCUGGUAAAUCGUUCUUUUUUGUGUGCUUUAAUUUAUUCUUCCUUGAAUUGUCUCUCUUUUGUUUGGUCGCUGAGAAAACGCGGGAGAAAAUAUGGAAAGUUUUGAAUUUAAUAAUGUAGAUUGGUCUAGACAGUCGAUAGUGUUGUUUAUGAGGGUCGGUUGGUUUUCAUUUGGUUACGAUAUGUGAAUUUUUGUUUGUUUACUUCAAUAAUUUUGGACAAUCUUAGGUGAUAAUGAUAGAAACAGAUGCAUUUCCCAAUUUUUUUUUUAAUCCUAGAAAAUAAAAAUCUUUCUUUAUUUUGCUUUGCAAGAUGAAAUUGGGAUCCUGGACCAGUUUUAGAGUUAAUUAUUAUACUUCACAGAACUUGAUAGAACUUCGAUGGCUCAUGGCUUCAUAUAGUUUCUUUAGCCUAUCGUUUUGAAUGAUUAAGCUAACUGCUUCAUUCCAACUUAUUAAUAUGUUUAUAGUAGUACAGCCCGAGUGAAGUUUCCUAAAAUUGUCCGAAGAGUCACGCCAUUGUCUUAUGUUGAGUUCGCCUGUAUUGCAAAUUCUGAACAACAAGUAGAGCAACUUAAUUCAUUUUAUGCAUGCAUAUAUAUUUGAAUUGUUUAGAAAUUAUAUUAGGUAAUUGAUAAAGAAGAUUAAUGGGUUAAUGUUCAAUGUUGUUGCAGAGGAUCCUGGUCAUUUGUCAAAGCAUCGGACAUGUUGGCUGCAUACAGUAGCAUUUUUGCAUGCUCGAAAGAUGAAGAUAUCUAAACAGAAGAUAAGAAACUUUGAAUUGACUGCCCCAUGUUUUCUAGGUACUUUUUCUUGUCGUAGACGAUCAAAGAGAAGAGUUAAGUGCAAGAAUACAAGCCUCAUUAAGGGCAAGAAUUCAAGUUCAGUUAAGUGCAAGGAUAUGAUCACUAAACGAAAGAAGAAUAAGCUAGAUUCUGGAAAAUUUGAACACCUUUUGGAGUAAGCCCUAGUUUCUGCAAUGUAUUUUGUAGCCUGUAACUUGCCCUUACACUGAAUGCAUGUACAAAUUUGCAGUAAUUUGUGGAGGAGCUUCUCUGAGGAUAAGAAGGCUGGCUUUACAUAUCUCGACUCUUUAUGGUUUGACUUGUAUAGGAAACCAUCCAGCAAAGCAAAGGUUUUGACAUGGAUCAAGAGGAAGCAUAUUUUUUCAAAGAAAUAUGUCCUUGUUCCAAUAGUUUGCUGGUGUGUAUUUUUUUUCACCUUGAAAACUGAUUGUCGGAUUCCUUGUCAGUGCAUGGAAUUAUAUAAUCUUAAAAUGCUAUUUUUAGGAGACACUGGAACCUCUUAAUCUUAUGCAACUUUGGCGGGAGUUUCGAAUCAAAAACAAGAACACCCUGCAUGCUUUUGCUUGAUUCACUUGAAAUGUCAAAUCCUUGGCGGUUUGAACCAGAUAUAAGAAAGUAUGUGACUCUUUAUUUCUUUGGUGUGUUUGUGUGUCUGUGUACCAGCAUUAUUGUAUCUGUUUAUUGCACAAGUUGAGUGUUCAACCUGCGUUCUGGGUUUUGAAGGUUUGUGAUGGACAUAUACAAAGCAGAGGAUAGACCUGAAACCAAGGAGUUGAUAUCUCGAAUUCCAUUAUUGGUGCCUAAGGUAACCAUCAUAAGAGCUAUUAAUUAAUUUUACAUAACACCCUCUGAAUUUGCACCUGUAAAUACUGUACUUGUUUUAGGUGCCACAGCAAAGAAAUGGUGAAGAAUGUGGAAACUUUGUUCUCUACUUCAUUAAUCUGUUUGUAGAGGGUGCUCCAGAGAAUUUUAACCUUGAGGACUAUCCAUACUUUGUAAGUUUUCUUGUUUGUGUCAUGUUUGUCACCUGCAGGAUUGUUCUUAUGUAUUAGUGACCGAGUUCCUCAUCUCUUCAAUACACUGCAGAUGGAAAAGAAUUGGUUUACUGCAGAAGACCUGGAUUGCUUUUGUGAGAGACUCAACUCCUCUGAAAACUGAUUUGCAUUAGUUUCGCUAGAUGCAAUGUACGAUUUGCAUUAGUUUCGCUAGAUGCAAUAUAUGUAAGUUCUUUAACAUAUUUGUAUACGUAGGGAUUAGGUCUCUGAGGUUUAUUUUGAAACAUUAUGAUUUAUAAGGUUAUGAUUUAGGCAUGGAGCUGAAGCAUAUAUUAGCUGCAAUCUCUAGGAUGGCAGAUGACGAUGUCUUGAUCAAUUAAAGGCAUUUUUUACUGUCUCGGCUUGCUAUUAUAUUGUUAGGCAAGAUUCUCGGUAUUGAGUUACUCGAGCUCUUCACAACAGCAUAUUCUAGUCUUCACCCAAUACUUAGAUAUAUAAACUAAUUUGACUUGCAGAGAACCUGUUGCUCUCACAACUCUGCUUUGAGCUCAUAACUCAGCUCCGCAGUUCUGCUUAUAUCCAAGACAUUGAUCCAAAUAAAAGAAUCAGAUCUGAAAUAUUGAACUAGGUUGACAUGCUGCAACUUGGAAACAGAAAAACGUUGAAGGCGGUAAAACCACCUGUAGAAUUUUCUGCAUCACUGAAACCAACAUAUGUAUUAGGGAUAUUUUGUUCUGGACCUUACAAGGUGCUCCUUCCUUGAAGGAACUGAGAAGCUAGUGCACUUUUUUUUUGUGUGGAAAUCCAGCAUGGAGAUCAGGAGAUGAAAAAUGUAAAUUUAGAGAAAUUGGAAAUAAAAAACAACAAACAACAGCAGUAUUUACUGGCAACAAUUGUAAGCCGCAUAAAGCAAAACAAGCCAAUCAUUUCAUACAUCAUAUGCUCAAAGCUUUGCUCAAAAUGGUAGAAAACAAUCUAGCAGCUAAAGUUCCAUCAUCAUAAGCGCAUUUGUACGCAUACACUAGGACAAAUGGCUCAACUUGUCAGUGCUAUUAACAAUGUGAAACUACACUAACACAUCGAAACAUGAUUUAGGCUUAUCAAUAUCAGUGCAAGUCAGCAAAGUGUGGUCGGUAACAAAAAUACAUUCUUUUCUUUACACCUAAAUCUGUAAUCAGAAGCUGAUUCCUCAAAAAGUAUUUUCAGUGUGUUGUUAUCAGGAGUUAGCAAUAGGGAAUGUCACCAUCUGGAACCUCCCAGUUAUCAUCUUCAUCAUCGUCCCCCUCCUUCUUAGGAGUUUUCUGUUUCACUGGAGAUUUUGGCUUUGGUCGUCUGACAUGAACAGAAUAAAUCAAUAGCAAGCAUGUAGUUCUUUGAAAAGAACAAAAAACAUAAAACGAAAAUGCAUAUGAGAGUGCCAACAAACAUGAUCAGCGACAUUUAAACAAAGCAAAAUUGGAGGAGGUACUGGCAUGAUUUAUAGGCCAAGUAUCAAGAUGGAGACUUUUAAUUAAUUUUUGGAAUCUUUAAAAUAAGAAAACAUAUUAGCAUAAAAGAUAUUAGAAUUGUAUAAUGAAAACAACAGAUGCCAGCAAAACACACACUGACCGUUUUCCCUGAGAGAUUUUAAGUUUGAAACUCAGCAUUGCUUCCAAUCAGUACAUGAAAAUUCAGCUACUCUUCUACCAUGAAACAAACCAUUUGAACUAUGCUUCCAAAUAUCAUCAGCACAUCUUUAGCAACCACCAAUGGGUUGCUAUGUUGUUAUUGUAAUGGGAAGCAUAACAUAAGGUACUUGAUGAUAUCUAAAUAGAUCCCAGUGGACGGCAUUUAUAUUGAUUCAGCAUCAAAACCUAGGAAAAAACUAAAUGUGAUCGUGUACUAGUAACUAAAUUAAGAAACUGAAUCAUCAGCAGUUGUUCUUCAACAAAUAUUAACAGAAGCCCAAACUGAAUACCUUUUUCGGUUCCUUUGAGCAGCGGAUCUCGCUUUACGCUUCCUCUUCUCCUGACUGCUCUCAAAAAAUCUUCUUCUCUUGCACUCUUGUAUAAUACCAGCUCUCAGCACCGCACUCCUAAACCGCCUCGCUAUCUUCUCCUCGGGCUAGUCGUCGGCGACUUCUAUCUGCACGUUGAAGAAAUAUAUGGUGUCUGUUGGAGCUGGACGGGGCUGCUGGCUGCUGCUGUGAGUGCUGUCGUCGUGGGCCACAAAACUCAAAAAGUGAGAAGAGGGAGCAAGGAGGGGGAGGGAGUUAGACGGUGAGACCGGCUGGUGUCUGUUGGAGCUGAACGGGGCUGCUGUGGCUGCUGCUGAAGUGCUGAUGUCGUCGGCCACAGUUCUCAGAAAGUGAGAACUAAGAAGAGGGAGCAAGGAGGGGGAGGCCGGGAGGUAGACAGGGAGUGAGAGAUUUUUGUUUAGGGAUUUUUAGGGAUUUUUUGGUUUAAUUAAUGUAUAUAUAUUUUUUAUUUAAAAGCUAAAUUUAAAAAAAAAAAAAAGCUUCAACCCGAACGGGUUGAAAAUUCGGUUCGGGUUGAACCCGAACCGAAAUUUAACCCGAACGGGUUGAAGCUUUGAAUCCGUUCGGGUUUCACUGGUUAAUCCAAACCGAACCGAACCCGAAAUAAAUUUCGGGUUCGGUUUGGUUCGGGUUAACCCGAACCGAACGCCCACCCUCACGCUUCACUCUCUUCUUUGGUUCUUCUCCAAUUUUCACCCUUAAAUCUUCACAGCUUUCUUCUUUUUAAGUCUUCACUCUUCAGUUUUCACAAAUCGAUUUCUCACACAAUCGGGUUUCACAGAUCGAGUUUCAGUCACAAAAGCAAACCGAUGGUCACUCAAAGACGCAGCGCAAGAACCGAAGAUCAUUUGCAGACACAGCCACCGGAUCCGUGGUUCCGUCCAUCACCAAGUUUCUCACCUCCAAGCUCCACUUCAACCCAGCAACCUGACUUCUCCAACCUGCAACCUGAGCCUUGUGUUUUGAAAUUUUGAUGGUUUUUCUUGAUGUUGUGAUUAUUAUCAUAUAUAAAUUGUAAAAUGUUAAUGUUCACCAGCUAAUGAUAAAGAAAAUCAGUGAUAAAGAAAGUUGUAAUGUAUUUUUUUUUCCAAUGAUGGGCAUAAAUUUUUUCAUUUUUCAGUCCAAACUGAUUUUAAUCCGAAUCCGAUCCGAACCGAACUCAACCCGAUUUUUUGACCCGGAUCGGAUUACAAGUUCGGAUUGAAUUCGGAUGGAUUUCUGCCCAACCCGACUAACCCGAAAUCCGAUCGGGUCGAACCAAACCCGAUCCGAAUCCGAUUUUGCCCAGCUCUACUUUUAGAACUAUCAGAGCUCGUUCAAAAUGUCACGGCCCACUUGAUAAAAUUCUCAUCUUAUCAACUUCAAAGGCAAAUUUAAAAAAAUCUUACUCCCCAAAUUUUCAAUUUCACCUAUUCUGCAUACUUGUUGUAAUGCUCACUUAAGACCCUCUCUAGUAACUCCUCUUAGAUGUAAGACUUUGCCCAGCAGACAACCCUCAACUAACUCUCUCGCAUUCCCUUCCAUGACAUUACCAACAACUACUUUACUUUCUUUUCCUUCUUCUAAUGUAAUAACUUUACACUUGCGGAUUAGUUCUUCUGUUUCCAUGAGGCACUAAAAUAUAAAUCCACUAUGAUAACUCUUGAGUAUCUACCACUUCCUCUGUAAUUAAGACUCAACAACUUAGAUGAAAAACUUAAAACUAAAAGAGACACCCAACUCGUGAGCGACUUUCGCAAUCUUAUAGGCUACUACCCUUUCAUUCUAGAUUCUCACUCAAAGAGAGAGAACCUGUGAAGAAAGACUUCUACAGGUAGGAGAGCACUUACACAGUAGAUUAUUUAUAUUUCUUUGGACUGACUUUUUUACUUUAUUAAAGACAAAAACAACAUAAACAAAGACAGAGGAUUAACAAAAGCAUCAAUUGCCAAAGAGUAGAGAGUAUUAUUAUAUUUUAGGAACUUAGGUUAUGACCAACUUAAAAGAAGCAGUUAGGGCUUGUUCGGUACCGUUUUAAAAGCCUUAUUUUCAUUUUUGUUUUGGGAGUAUAAAUAUAAUACAUAUUCAGCGGGUUGAAUCCAAAAAAAUAAAUUAUAAAACAAAUAAUUGAUAUUCACUUUUACAGUUAUAAAAUUAAGAACCUGUUGAACAUGUUCUCAAACAAAUUACAAAUUAAAUUAAAAAAAUAAACCCCAAAACAAAAUCUAAAAAGUUAUCUUUCUCUCCCAAAAUCUUAUCCCCUCCCUCUCGUUAUCUCUUCACAACUCUUCCUUCUUCAUGGUUGAUACUUCUCCUUUAACCACAACCCACCUGAACUGUGCACCGAUCUCUCUCUCCCCUUCCCCUUUAUCUAGGUCUACUUCAAUGUUCUCUUCCUCUCGGUGGCUGUUACUUGUUCAUCAACCGCAAUCCAUCGUCGCAAGGUACUACGUCGGAAUAUUUGACCAAAAACAUGUCAGGACAAAGUGAUGUCUAUCAUGGUUUAUUGCUGCAAGUGCAUUAUUUUCUUUGUACUAAAGUGAAUCUUUGAUGUAUUUAUUAAAUUUGGUGGAGCAAUCUUAGUUAAUUUUGAUGAUUUAUAUAUGCAUUUAAUUUCAUUUUUAAUAAUUCAUGUGCAGGAAAUAUGGAUUCUUGGCUUUGCUUGGACUGAUGGUUUGCGCAAUUUCAUUUGGAAUCAAUCAGCUUCGAGGAUAAACACUUGAAGUUCAUCCUUUCUUGUGCAUGGGACUUGCUUUUCUUCCAUCCAACUUUUUUGUUCUCUUUUUCUAUGGUAGCAGUUUUAUGUUUUGUGUUGGUGGGAAACUUCAUGCUGCAAUUUUGUCAAACUCUGUUGACAUACCCUAAUCAGUAAUGACUUUGCUGCAUGGCGAAAGCAUAAAUCUUGUCAUUAGAGCUUGUUUCCAUAAAAUAAGUGUAAUUUGAAAGUACAUUGUACACUAUUGAAUUUAAAUUAUCCCCAACAAGUGUUGAUGCAUGAUGUCUAUCGUGUAAUUUUUUUUAUAAUUAUUUUGUUUAAAUUAUAUGUGUUGUAAUAUAUAACUUAAUUAUAGUGUAAAAACAAUGGCAAUGUAAUUUUUUGUAUUAAUGCUAAUACUAAAACUUUAUCAUCAUGCAAUUUUUUAUAAUUAUUUUAUUUAAAUUAUUUAUGAUAUGUUUGCGUAUUAAUUAAAUAAACAAUUAGUUUUUACUAAAAACUAUGACUUACAUGUUUAGUAAAAACUGUUCAUGAAAAUAGUACUACAGAACACAUUUUCUCUGAUUUUAUCUUUUUCAAUUGUUUUUAUCAAACACAUGUUACUGUUUUCAAUUUUAAAAUACAAGAUAUAGAAAAUGAUAUCAGAUGCCUAUUUAAUUCAAAAUGCUGCAACUGCAAAACACUAUUUUUAUUCUCAUUUUUGUUUUCAGAAAAUACUAAUUCAGAAACAAUAACAAACAAGAACUUAGUUUUAGUACGAAUAAUGUUGUGUUAGUUUUACAGGCUUAUAUGCACCCUUAGAUUUAUUAGAAGUAUCAACCCAACCCCCUAGUUACCGUUGACUGAUAUCUAACCCGUUGACUGAUGUUAACUCUUGAAAGUAACUAUAACAUCUAUAUUGUAAUCUCACUUUAUUAACUAAUAAAUUUUAAAAAUAUAAACAGAUCAAUAACAACAAAAUAAUUAAAGUUGAAAUCCAAGAAAUUACCUAAAAAUCAUACCUGAAAACCAAAAUGCAUAAAAUUUCAUUAAUUUAAGUUGUGAGAAUGAGUAGUCCACAUUAUAUGAUGAAUGAACAACUUCUAUCAUUUUACCAAGUUAUUAAUGUUAUGUUUACUUACUGGAGUGGACAUGAGAAGUAUAGAUUCCUCUCACUCUAAAGUUUACUUGCAUAUUCUAAGAGGUGUGGGAAUCCCACUCCGUUGAUCCCACCCAAUUUUGAAGUAGUGAGUGUAAUUCCCACUCCCACAACUUUCUUUUUUACUUUUCUUUUAUUAAAUUUAAUACAAUCAUAUUUAGUAAAAUAAAACAAAUAACAUCAUAUUUAUUUAAUAAAUAUUAUUAUUUUAUUUUAUAAAAUUCUAUUUAUUAAAAAGAAUAAUAUUAAUCUUAUUUAGAUAAAAUUAUUAUUAUAUUUAUUUAAAAAUAAUAGUAUUAUAUUUAUUUAAUAUUAAUAAUUAAUAAUAAUAAAUAAUCUCAAGAUUUCCACUAUAAUCUAAAAUGUAAACACUGUCUAAAACGUCAAAUAAAAUUCUUAAUUAAGUAAACCAUAAGGUGAUUACGUAUAAAAAAAAUUAAUAAUAUUAAUUUUCAUAAGAAUUUAUGCUUGUAGUAUUACUUCACUUUUUUAUUAACCGUUGCUUCAACUUAUGGUAGAUAUUAAGAGAACAAUAAUAAUAGAGCUAUAAAUGUUUGCGUACUAUCAAUCAACUUAACAGUAUAAUUACCAACAAAUCCUUAAUACCAUAAAUAAUUAAAUUAUUGGGGUUUUAAAAUGACUCUCUAGACUUUGCAUGAUUUCUUUAUAUGUAGGUGCCAUGGUUCCCAUAAGUAAUAUCAGCCACACUUUUUGUUAUUGUUAAAAAAAUUUUAUAGGUACAAUUUGUGAAUUUGUACAAAAUGUGGUAUUAUACAUUUGAAGCAUGAACUGACAAGACAAUGUUGUGUCAAUAAUAAAGAAACAAAAAAAAAAUUGUAUAAAAUACAGAUGUUGUAGUGUAACUUGGAUUCUUUUUCUUUAUAAUUGCACCUAUCAUGUGAUUAUCAAAAAAAAAAAAGAACUCCUGAGAUUUUAAAAUUUUGUAAUUGCACUAUUUUUGGAUUAUCAGAAGACUUCCUCUCCUUAAAGAUGCUCUUAAUCCAUAAAUGGUGCAAAACAUAAUUCAUGAAAUGAAUUUAUUAUUUUAGAUAAGUUUCAAGUAUGCAUACCUUUUAUAGCUCCAUAUUGCAUAACUCCUCAUUUCAAUCAAUGGAUGCAUUUGUUUACUUUUUCUUUCUUGUAAAUUUUUUAAUGGCCGUAAUUCUAUAAAUAAUUAAUUAAGUGUUAUUGUUAUCAUUAUUUUGUAGAUGCAUAUGUGGGGUGGGGACGUUGGGGGGCAUGGAUCUCAAUAUAGCAGAGGGCCUGAAUAUUUAUUCUUUAAGAGGAACCACAACCAACAACAAUGCUUUAAGUUCCAUUCCAUUUUACUUCUGUGCACCAGAUUGCAUAAACAACAUUGAUUAUCCAAGGUCAAAGUCUCUCAAAUACUCUAGUUACAAGACAAAGCAUGGGUUAGUAGUGGCCAAAAUUUUCUUGCAACGAAAGGCUCGUAAACUGAUGACAGCUGCUGGAUUGUUUUGGGCCUUAAUGGUUUUAAUAUUAUUCUCUUAAAAACAUAUAUGUUGAUUAGAGACGAGAGGAAGAAGAUGAUAUGAUUCAGCCAGUUGCAGAAGAAAGAGCACGCAGUGGAGUUCAGAUUUUGAAUUCUCUUGUCAAAUUGUUUUUAAUUUACUACAAGGUAGAAUAUGUUGCAUUGUUAAAAAAUACUUUGAACAUCCUAUUUUUGUAUUACAAAUAUACCAAAAAUUAAAUUAAUUUUUUUCUUUAUUAGUAUAAACUAAAUUUUGCAUGAAUCCUCAUCCUUAUAAGUGGAAUUCUAUUGUGAAAUUAAUAGUCCUUCCUAGUUGAACUAACUAUCACUUUGAACAUGUGUCAUCUCUAACAACAGCUCCCAAACCUGCAGCUACCUGCUUCUUAGCAUUAGAAGCAGUAUCUGCAUUGGCUUUCAACCAGCCAUAAUUAGGAGGAGGGCACCAUUGUUUCUGUUUGUCAAUUUCCUUUCUUGAACCAUAAGCCAUAAUUAGGAGGAGGGCAAACUUCCAAAUAACAUUCCAAAUGGUAUUGUGAAAAAUUUUCACCCUUUUGGUAAUAAAAAAGAACCUUAUUUCUAGUUCUCUAUUAACAAUCUUACCACUAAGUUCUCUCUUGAGUAGAAACAUCAUAUAUAUUAAUUUAUUGUUAAUAUAAACAAAACUAAAUAUUUAUAACUUAAAAGAUAGGUGUUGAAUAGAGGCAGUCUCACAGAAAAAAAAAAAAAAGUAUUUGAAAGCAGUGGUGAUAUCAUAUUUUUUGUAAUGAUACGAGAGUAUCACACUAGAUUUUUUUUCUGCAUUACAAAAAGUUUGUAUUCAAGAAUAAAUAAGCAAUAUCAGGAACAAAUUUUACAAAAAGCCUCCAGGACAUGUCAUAUUAAUUUUGUGAUAUAUUAGUCACUAGAUCUUCUUUCCACAUUACAAAAAAUUAGAAAUGCAAUCUAAAUCGAUAUCAAUUACUAAUUUUAUAUUGAAUGGGUCCUACAUGAAAAUAAGGAGUAUUUUUAUAAUUUAAGAAAUUAUUAGCCAUUUACCCUAAGUUUACUUUGUGUCAAAAAAUACUACGAAAACUUUAACUUAUUUAGUUUUUUACCUGAAUUUAUAAUUUAUAUCAAUCACUCACUAAAAAGAUAGAAUUACCUCAUAAAAUGACAAAAUAAAAACAAACACAAAUGACAAUACCAGUAAUUUUAUAAGGAUAAUCCAAUCCUUUUGGCACCAAAUUACAUAUUAAAUUAUUUUAAAUAUUAUAAAUUAUUUUUAAAUUGAGUGAGAAACCCUGGUCAUUUUAAUACUCAUGGCCAUUUAAUCUAACAAAACAUGAUAUUUCGAGUAGACUUAUGUUUGCGUAAUGAAUAAUAGAUUUCAAUGAUGAGAACUAGACUUAUUUUUUAUUUAGGCAAAUAAUACAUGCACCGCUUACUUGGCAAUAUAUUUAAUUUUUCAAAUUUCUUUAUUUAGUCAACAAAUUUGAAAUUAAGUCUUCUCGAAUAUUAAGAAAUGUUGAUGAUUUUUAUAUUUUUGUUAUGUAAGUUGGAGUUUGUUAUUCAUUUUGUUAAUUAUUUAUUUUCUUAAUAUUCUUAUGAUUCACUUCCUUUAGGGGCUGAGUUUUGGAUUCAUCAUGAUUGUAUCGGGGUCCGGGUUUCACACGCUCGUUUUGUUAUGCCUUAGUCUUUGUUUUGUUUUUUUUUUAAGGGAAGCAAUUUCAUUAAACCAAAAACGAAUUACAGACUAUGUAAUAACCACAAAGGUGGAACGAAAUUCCACUCUUGGGGACCUGACAUAGAACCUACUGCCCUUGCAACAGAAUGAGCAGCCAGGUUCGCAGACCGACGUACAAACGAGAAUUGUACUUCUCCUAAAGACUUAGCUAAAGCUCGACAUUCAUCAACUAUUAAACCAAAACCGUUAGGCCCUGAAAACUCCUCAACUAGAGCUUGAAAUACUUGUAAACAAUCAGUUUCAACAAUGACACAAGGAAAUUGUAAGCCUUUAAGCCAACUAAGGGCCUCCCGAAUACCAAGAGCUUCAGCCUCCCUUGCUCCAAAAUUCCCAGCCAUUCCAGCACAUCUUGCUGUUAAGAAAACACCCUCUGAAUUUCGAAGCACACACCCAAAACCAAUCUUUCCUUGAGAUGAAAAGAUAGCAGCGUCAACAUUACAUUUGACCCAACCAAACUUUGGCCUCUCCCAACAUGUUGCCCCAUGGACCAGCUUAUGGACAUCAGUAUCAGCAUAGAAUUGUUGCUUCUUUGCUGCUUGCCACUGAUAGAGAAGUUGCCCAGCAGAAUUGAGCACUUGAUUCACUGAACCAGUUUUGUUAUUCCAUACUUUGUCAUUACGAUUAAUCCAAACUCUCCAGCAGAUCAUCAUGGCAACAUGGCAUUCUUCUUUGCUGCAGCGUGUAAAGAUGUGAUCAAGCCACUCUAAGAAAGAAUAACAAUGGCCAAUAAAACCCAUAGAGGAAGAAAUCCAGCAAGCCUUAGCAACAUUACACUCAACCAACGAAUGGAGAACCGUUUCAUCAAAAGCAAGACACACAGCACAAGUAGGGGGGAUAUUCACCCGCUUAGAAAUUAAAUUAACUGCAGUAGGCAACACAUUAGUUGCCGCUCGCCAAACAAAAUUCUUAACCUUAUUCGGCACAUUCAAGUUCCAUAGUUUUCGCCACACAUCUGUGAAAGGGCCAGGGGUAAGAGAAUGUAAAACCUUAUAACAGCUACGGACUGAAUAGCAUCCGCGAGAAUCAGCCAACCAAUACCACACAUCAUCAUUUCGGCGGGAACUAAGGGGAAUUUGAAGUAUCAACUCCUUGUCUCUUGCGUUGAAAAGAUCCGAAACAAGAUCAUAAUCCCAAGCUCGUUGAUUAGGCACCAGUAAACUACUAACAGGAGCUGCAGCAAGCUCUACAUGGAGAUUAGAAGAAACAAAUCCAUUAUUAGUAUCAGGAAGCCACGGAUCCUUACCAAUGAAGAUCGAAUUCCCACAGCCAACUUGCAGUCUACUCCCUUGAAUUACCACAUCCUUUACAGCCAAAAUAAAGCGUCAUACAUAGCUAGGAUUAUGCCCCACAGAAGCUUGAAGAACAGAGGUGCGCGGAUGGUAGCGAGCUUUAAUUAUCUUGGCCACAAGAGAUUCCGGACAAGUUAACAGCUUCCACAUUUUCUUUCCUAACAUCGCUAGAUUGAAUAAAUGAAGUUGUUUAAAACCAAGGCCCCCAUAUCCUUUUGGUUUGCACAGAUUUUCCCAAUUGGACCAGUUUAUUCCUUUCCCUCCACUUUGAUUACUACGCCACCAGAAUGAGUUCAUCAGUCCUUCUAGUUCUCUACACAAAUCCUUUGGCAGUAAAUAUAUACCCAUAGCAUAAUUAGGCAUCGCAAGGGCUACCGUUUUUAACAAAAUCUCCUUCCCAGCCCGAGAAAGCAUCCGCGUACUCCAUCCCUGCAGGCGUUGCCAGAGCUUGUCCCUAAUAUACCUGAACACCUCUUUCUUGUUUCUGCCAAUAUAUGAUGGAAGACCAAGGUAGGCUCCAUGAUUAGAGGUCAUGGUAACCGCUAGAAUAUCACAAACCUGCUGAGUAACAGAUGCAAUCACAUUAGUGCUAAAAGAAAUUGAAGACUUGUUGAAAUUAACCUCUUGGCCAGAAGCUCGACCAUAAACCUCCAGCAGCUGCUUGAUUAAAGAAGCUUCAUUGUUAUUUGCCCUGAAAAAAAGGAAGCUAUCAUCGGCAAAAAACAAAUGCGAGACCGAUGGUGCCCCUCUCGCGAUCCGUACACCAUGAAGUAAGCCAUUCCUUUCUUGUCUUCGAAUUAAAGAACUGAGCCCUUCCGCGCAAAGAAUAAAUAGAUACGGAGAUAAUGGAUCUCCCUGUCGAAGGCCUCUACUCGGAACAAUCGGCCCAACUUCCUUUCCCUCCCGUAGCACAUGAUAUCUGACAGUAGAUACACAGAGCAUAAUUAACUCCACCCACUUGGCAUCAAACCCCAUCUUAAGCAUCAUUGCUUGAAGAAAAUUCCACUCAAUCCUGUAAUAUGCCUUAGACAUAUCAAUUUUCAGAGCAGCUACCCCAUUUUUACCUUGUCUCUUCCGCUUCAAGAAAUGCAUAAUUUCAGCCGAAAUGAUUAUGUUAUCCGUGAUAGCUCGACCCGGGAUAAAAGCGCUUUGAGAGUCUGAAAUAACCACAUCAAGAACUGAUUUCAUGCGGUUAGCUAGCAUUUUGGAUAUUAUCUUAUACAACACAUUGCAUAACGCAAUUGGUCUCGUAUCUGAUAAUAAUUCAGGUUUGUGUUUCUUCGGUAUUAGCACAAUUGAAGUGUCAUUCAAGCCCACUGGGAAAGAGCAAUCAUGAAUAAAUUUUAAACAAGCCAAAAUCACAUCCUUACCCACAAUAUGCCAGAACUUUUGGUAGAAAGCAGGGUUCAUCCCGUCGGGUCCUGGAGACUUGUCCGGAUGCAUUUCAAAGAGUGCUUCUUUAACCUCAAUGUCAGUAAAAGAAGCUAAAAGCAUUGCAUUAUGCUCGUUUGUAAUUCUUGUAUCCACACACUGGGUAACUUCAGCAGUAUGACACCCUCCGGAGGUGAAAAGGCUCUGGAAAUAGUCCACAAUCAAAGUAUCCACCUCCUCUGGGUUGGAACACCAGUCUCCUUGAUUAUUACGAAGAGACUCGAAGGAAUUCUGCCUUCUCCUGGCAGAGGUCGAGGCAUGGAAAUAGUGAGUGUUCUUGUCACAUUCCUUUAACCACAAAGACUUUGCUCUCUGUUUCCAAAAAACCUUAUGACUAUGCAAAAGCUCAUUAUAACGCUGUCUCGCUUCUGAAAAAGCAACCACACCCUCACUAUCUCGCCUACCUCGAAAAACAGCCAUACACUUCUUGCAUUCCCGAAUUCGCUGUCGAAAAUCUCAAGCAAAAUGCCCUCCCCACUCCAUAAGAGCAGACCCACACAGCAUAAUUCUAUGUUGAAUAGAAGCACCAGUAUAGGAGCUCCAGCUAUCCCGAAUAACAUCACUACAGUCAGCCUCACGCAACCAAGUAUUCUCAAAACGAAAAUGGUUAUGCCUUAAAAUAGGCUGGGUCGGGCUAGGAUCCAACAAGAUAGGAAGAUGAUCAGAGCAAGAGGAGUCUAAGCUAUAGACUUUCACCUUGUUGAAUCGCUGAAUCCAUUCCUCAGAUGCAAAAGCUCGAUCAAGCCUUUCUUCAACCCAUUUAUCAGUGCCCCUAGCUCUCUCCCAUGUAAACUGAUACCCAUCGAUGCCAAGAUCAACUAAAUUGCAAUCGGUAAUAGCUCGCUGAAAACCCACCAGCUUCCAAUUUGGGUGCGCAAUACUACCUCUCUUCUCAUUUGCCGCCAGUAAAUCAUUAAAAUCACCUAUACACACCCAUGGGAGUGAAGAGGAAGAAGCAAGCAAACGGAGCAAGUCCCACGAUUUGCGGCGCCGGCUAGACUCAGGAUAGCCGUAAUAACCAGUUAAUCUCCAUUUUCCUAAAACGGGCACUUCAACUUCAGUAUCUAUAAAAUUGGUGGCAAACUGCAGCAGAUUAACAUUACUAGUAGCUUUCCAAAGAAGCGCGAGCCCACCACUCCGGCCAACUCUAUCAACAACAAACAGCCCAUCAUAGCCCAAUUGAAUUUUGAUCAUCUCUAACUUAUCUCUACUGCAUAGCGUUUCAAUAAGAAAAAUGAACGUAGGCUUCUUGUUACGGACCACCUCUGCCAACAUACGAACUGUCCGUGGCUGGCCCAACCCACGGCAGUUCCAACUUAAAGUACUCAUUGCUCUCGGUGGGCCUGAAGUACAGGUCCCACCGCUAGCCCGUUUUUUGGAUCUACCACCAUAGAACUCACAUCCACCUCUGUUUGUACUAUACCCUCCAGCCCCAUAUCCGCUCUUCUUCUUUUAGCUUCCUUUAACACUAACUCUUUCUCCCCAUACCUUACAGCUACUUGAGUAAGGUCCAGCCCAUUUGCAAAUGAAACCACGUCUUUGCCCUUACCAAGCCGUUGACUGCUAGUGGCCUGGACAACUGGCAAUGCUUGUAAGCUCAUUAUAUUAUCCAUAGAAUCCCGCCCAUCACUCCCUAUAUGGUUGGCAAAUUUCGUAUUGUUGGAAAUUCCUGAUUUGGAGGCAUUCAUCUCAUUAACCACGGUACCACUUAAGGAAGUUUUAAAAUUUCCUGAAUUAGCCAUACAUUCUUCUGACAGUUCCGAACGUAACCACCUUUCACCGGAGGACAUGGCAUUCCGACGAGUUGGAGCCUUCAUCUCUGGCCCAUAUGACCUUGUAAUAUCAGCAGCAUCACAAUCAUACAACUUCGGACAAAGUUUUUCUGAGUGCCCAAGGAGUCCACAAAUGAAGCAGAAAGUAUUUAAUCGUUCAUACUUGAAAUCAACCCAGAACCAAUCUCCUCCCUCCUUCUUUAGUCGCAAUCUUCGCUUCAGGGGUUUCCGGACAUCAAUGGAUACCCUUAUGCGCAUAUAGUUUCUCCACACUCCCAUGAGAUUAUUAGGAUCUGAAGAUUGAAACUCACCAAUAUUGUUACCAAUAUUUAUCAAUACUUUCUCUGACAGAAACCCAAUGGGUAAGUUGUACACCUGGAUCCAAAACGAAGUAUGGAAUAAAGAAACCAUAUUCGGUUGUUCAUUCUCCCCCAAUCUCUUUAAAAUUAGAAUAUGUUGGUCGAAGGUCCACGGUCCCGAAUCAAUCACACGCUUGAGGUCAACUUCGUGAAAGAAUUGGAACAAGAAAAGAGAAGGUGAUAAAUCUUUGAUGCACACUCCCUUCCCUGGACGCCAUAAUGCCGCCAUAGUAUUUUUCAUGGCCGGAAAAUUGAUCACCUUAUCAGUUAAAAACCUCCCCACCAAGCAGAAUCUAAAAUCAGUCAACCCUGCAUUUCCAGUGGCAAUAUCCUCACUAUGAAAAACAAGACCAUCGUCAUCUUCCUCCCCAAUAGAAACCUUUUCAUAUGCAGCAUUCAUCUCAUGCUCCCCAAAAUUUCUACUGGUUGUCAUAGUACUCGUAAUAAGCAGGAAAUAUGGCUAUCUAGCCGGAAAUAUCCUAGAGCAAACUUGUCAGAAGGACAAGACAAACAAAGCUUGCCAAAGAGACAAGAGUAGCCUAAAAUUACGAAUUGUGUUUGAGUAGGAGGAUAAUGUAAGAAAACUUGGCACUUUUAUUCAACUGAAGAAAUUUUACAAUUUAAAUUAGAAACGAUAAAAUUUAAUAAUUAACUAUUAUUUGAACUAAUUGAAUCGUGCGCCAUCAUUUGUGUAAUGUAUCCUAUUUGCAAAAUAAACGGCAGGAUGCGGUUUGCGGACAGAUUAUGGAAAGAAAAAGGCAUAUAUUUCUCUCCUAUUUUGGUAAUUCUAUAUUUCUAUUCUUCUUCUUUUUCAACCCCAAAUAAUCAAAAGCUCUCCAAUGGCUUUCGUAUCCACAAGGACCACAACUCGUCCAUUUCAUUUUACUUCAAUUUUAGUAUCAGCUCUUAGAUGUAAUUUCUCAUCUUCGUUCCCUCAUACCGGAAAACCCACAUCUUCAAUUUCGGAAAAUGAACCCUCGUAUCCGACCACAACAGCUAAACUGAAGGAGUCGCUACGACUGACGGUCAAAGACUGAGCCUCACUCGAAAAAUUCCUCAAAGAAAGGUGCAAAUCAUCAGGUCAAGGUGAUAUUAAUCUUAUUACUCCUAAUGAAGCCUUGUGUAUCUUUGAUUACAUGCUCCGUAUGCACCCUUCUCCGCCUCCUGUCUCUUCCUUCAAUAUUUUGUUUGGUUGUCUUGCUAAGAAUAAACAUUAUGAUACUGUCCUUUCACUCUUCAAGCGACUCAAUUCAACUGGGUUGUUUCCAGAUCUUUAUACUUACAAUAUCUUGAUUAACUGCUUUUGCAAAAUGGGUCGAGUUUCUCAUGGUUUUGUUGUUCUUGGGAGAAUCCUCAGGUCUUGUUUUACUCCAGAUGCUGUGACCUUUACUUCUUUGAUUAAAGGUUUGUGUGCGGAGAGUAGAAUCAUGGAGGCCGCCACAUUGUUUAUGAAACUUAAAGCGUUUGGUUGUGAGCCUAAUGUCAUUACAUACACCACUUUGAUUAAUGGAUUGUGUCGAACAGGCCAUACAAUUGUUGCUCUAAAUUUAUUUGAAGAGAUGGCUAAUGGAAAUGGGGAAUUUGCUGUUGUUUGUAAGCCAGACACUGCUACAUACAGUACUAUUAUCGAUGGUCUUUGUAAGGAAGGUUUUGUGGACAAGGCCAAGGAACUGUUUCUGCAGAUGAAGGAUAACAAUAUUAACCCUAACAUGGUUACCUAUACCUCUGUGAUUCGUGGUUUUUGUUAUGCUAAUGAUUGGAAUGAGACCAAGUGUUUGCUAAUUGAGAUGAUGGACCAAGGGGUACAGCCUAAUGUUGUGACUUUCAAUGUCAUCAUGAAUGAGCUCUGCAAGAAUGGAAAGAUGGAUGAGGCAAGUCGGUUGUUGGACCUGAUGAUUCAGUUUGGUGUGCGUCCAAAUGCUUUUGUCUAUAACACAUUAAUGGACGGGUUUUGCUUGACAGGUAGAGUUAAUCGUGCGAAGGAACUAUUUGUUUCUAUGGAGAGUAUGGGUUGCAAACAUACUGUUUUUAGUUACAGUAUUUUGAUAAAUGGUUACUGCAAGAAUAAGGAAAUAGAGGGAGCGUUAACCCUUUAUAGCGAAAUGCUCUCUAAAGGAAUUAAGCCAACAGUUGUUACAUAUAGCACCUUGUUUCUUGGACUUUUUGAAAUACACCAGGUUCAGCAUGCUUUAAAACUGUUUGAUGAGAUGCAGCGUAAUCAUGUGGCAGCUAAUACAUAUAUAUACACUACCUUUAUUGACGGGCUCUGCAAGAAUGGUUUGGAACUGUUUCUGAAGAUGAAGGAUGAGAAUAUUAACCCCAAUGUGGUUACUUAUACCUCUUUGAUUCACGGUUUUUGUUACGCUAAUGAUUGGAAUGAGGCGAAGUGUUUGUUUAUUGAGAUGAUGGACCAAGGGGUACAACCUAAUGUUGUGACUUUCAAUGUGAUCAUGGAUGAGCUCUGCAAGAAUGGAAAGAUGGAUAAAGC
rnacentral:lncRNA from 1 species